rnacentral:lncRNA from 1 species
UUUUUUUUUUGUUUUCUGCAACGUUCCCCAACAGUGGUAUCAGAGCUAGGUUUAUGUGUAGUUCUCUUUGCACGAGUAGAACACAAUUUGUUGUGGGCGUAGAUGUUGUCAACUUUCUUGCCACUACUAGUCUUAUUUUGCUUCAGCAGUAUUGUGGGAUGAAGCGGCCUGGACCAACCUUACACGUACACUUACGUGAGACCGGUUCCACCGACUGACAUGCACUAGUUGCAUAAGGUGGCUGGCGGGUGUCUGUCUCUCCCACUUUAGUUGGAGCGGAUUCGAUGAAAAGGGUCCUUAUGAAGGGUAAAUAGAAGUUGACAAAUCACGUUGUGGCUUUCACGUAGGUAAGAAAACAUUCUUGCUAGAACCCUAUUGCAGCCACGUAAAACUUGCAACAACAAUUAGAGGACGUCUAACUUGUUUUUGCAGCAAGUGUUUUGUGAUGUGAUAUGGCCAAAGUUGUGAUGAAUGAUGAAUGAUAUAUAUGUGAUGUAUGAGAUGUUCAUGCUAUUGUAAUAGGAAUCACGACUUGCAUGUCGAUGAGUAUGACAACCGGCAGGAGCCAUAGGAGUUGUCUUUAGUUUUUGUAUGACCUGCGUGUCAUUGAGAAACGCCAUGUAAAUUACUUUACUUUAUUGCUAAACGUGUUAGCCAUAGUAGUAGAAGUAAUAGUUGGCGAGCAACUUCAUGGAGACACGAUGAUGGAGAUCAUGAUGAUGGAGAUCAUGGUGUCAUGCCGGUGACAAGAUGAUCAUGGAGCCCCAAGAUGGAGAUCAAAGGAGCUAUGUGAUAUUGGCCAUAUCAUGUCACUAUUAUUAUUUGAUUGCAUGUGAUGUUUAUCAUGUUUUUGCAUCUUGUUUACUUAGAAUGACGGUAGUAAAUAAGAUGAUCCCUCAUAAUAAUUUCAAGAAAGUAUUCCCCCUAACUGUGCGCCGUUGCGACAGUUUGUUGUUUCGAAGCACCACGUGAUGAUCAGGUGUGAUAGAUUCCAACGUUCAAAUACAACGGGUGUAAGAUAGAUUUACACAUGCAAACACUUAGGUUGACUUGACGAGCCUAGCAUGUACAGACAUGGCCUUGGAACACAGAAGACCGAAAGGUCGAGCAUGAGUCGUAUAGAAGAUACGGUCAACAUGAAGAUGUUCACCGAUGUUGACUAGUCCGUCUCACGUGAUGAUCGGACACGGCCUAGUUGGAUCAUGUUAUACUUAGAUGACUGGAGGGAUGUCUAUCUGAGUGGGAGUUCAUUAAAUAUAUGAACUUAAUUAUUAUGAACUUAGUCUAAAAUAUUUACAAUAUGUCUUGUAGAUCAAAUGGCCAACGUUGUCCUCAACUUCAACGCGUUCCUAGAGAAAACCAAGCUGAAAGACGAUGGCAGCAAUUAUAUGGACUGGGUCUGGAACCUGAGGAUCAUCCUCAUAGCUGCCAAGAAAGAUUAUGUCCUACAAGCACCGCUAGGUGAAGCACCCGCUCUCCCUGCAGAACAAGAUGUUAUGAAUGCUUGGCAGACACAUGCUGAUGACUACUCCCUCGUUCAGUGCGGCAUGCUUUACAGCUUAGAACCGGGGCUCCAAAAGCGUUUUGAGAGACACGGAGCAUAUGAGAUGUUCGAAGAGCUGAAAAUGGUUUUUCAAGCUCAUGCCCGGGUCGAGAGAUAUGAAGUCUCCGACAAGUUCUUCAGCUGUAAGAUGGAGGAAAAUAGUUCUGUCAGUGAGCACAUACUCACUAUGUCUGGAUUACAUAACCGCUUAACUCAGCUGGGAGUUAAUCUCCCGGAUGACGCGGUCAUUGACAGAAUCCUUCAGUCGCUUCCAUCGAGCUACAAGAGCUUUGUGAUGAACUUCAAUAUGUAAGGGGAUGGAAAAGACCAUUCCUGAGGUAUUUUCAAUGCUGAAAUCAGCAGAGGUAGAAGUCAAAAAGGAACAUCAAGUGUUGAUGGUCAAUAAAACCACCAAGUUCAAGAAAGGCAAGGGUAAAAAGAACUUCAAGAAGGACGGCAAGGGAGUUGCCGCGCCCGGUAAGCAAGCUGCCGGCAAGAAGCCAAAGAAUGGACCCAAGCCCGAGACUAAGUGCUUUUAUUGCAAGGGAAGUGGUCACUGGAAGCGGAACUGCCCCAAAUACUUAGCGGACAAGAAGGCCGGCAACACGAAAGGUAUAUGUGAUAUACAUGUAAUUGAUGUGUACCUUACCAGUACUUGUAGUAGCUCCUGGGUAUUUGAUACCGGUGCAGUUGCUCACAUUUGUAACUCAAAGCAGGAGCUGCGGAAUAAGCAGAGACUGGCGAAGGACGAGGUGACGAUGCACGUCGGGAAUGGUUCCAAGGUCGAUGUGAUCGCCGUCGGCACGCUACCUCUACAUUUUCCUACGGGAUUAGUUUUGAACCUCAAUAAUUGUUAUUUAGUGCCAAGUUUGAGCAUGAACAUUGUAUCAGGAUGUCGUCUAAUAUGAGAUGGCUACUCAUUUAAAUCCGAGAAUAAUGGUUGUUCUAUUUAUAUGAGAGAUAUGUUUUAUGGUCAUGCUCCGAUGGUGAAUGGUUUAUUCUUAAUGAAUCUCGAGCGUAAUGCUACACAUAUUCAUAGUGUGAGUACCAAAAGAUGUAAGGUUGAUAAUGAUAGUCCCACAUACUUGUGGCACUGCCGCCUUGGUCACAUAGGUGUCAAACGCAUGAAGAAGCUCCAUGCAAAUGGACUUUUAGAGUCUCUUGAUUACGAAUCAUUUGACACAUGUGAACCAUGCCUCAUGGGUAAAAUGACCAAGACUCCAUUCUCAGGAACAAUGGAGCGAGCAACCAACUUAUUGGAAAUCAUACAUAUUGAUGUGUGCGGUCCAACGAGUGUUGAGGCUCGCGGUGGUUAUCAUUAUGUUCUCACCCUCACUGAUGACUUGAGUAGAUACGGGUAUGUCUACUUAAUGAAACACAAGUCUGAGACCUUUGAAAGGUUCAAGGAAUUUCAGAGUGAGGUUGAGAAUCAACGUGACAGGAAAAUCAAGUUCCUGCGAUCAGAUCCUGGAGGAGAAUACUUGAGUCACGAAUUUGGCACACACUUAAGAAAAUGUGGAAUAGUUUCACAACUCACGCCGCCUGGAAGACCUCAGCGUAAUGGUGUGUCUGAACGUCAUAAUCGCACCCUAUUAGACAUGGUGUGAUCUAUGAUGUCUCUUACCGAUUUACCGCUAUCAUUUUGGGGCUAUGCUUUAGAGACUGCCGCAUUCACUUUAAAUAGGGCUCCGUCGAAAUCCGUUGAGACGAUAUCGUAUGAAUUAUGAGAAACCUAAGCUGUCGUUUCUAAAAGUUUGGGGAUGCGAUGCUUAUGUCAAGAAACUUCAACCUGAAAAGCUCGAACCCAAGUCGGAAAAAUGUGUCUUCAUAGGAUACCCUAAAGAAACUAUUGGGUAUACCUUCUACCUCAGAUCCGAAGGCAAGAUCUUUGUUGCCAAGAAUGGAUCCUUUCUAGAGAAAGAGUUUCUCUCGAAAGAAGUAAGUGGGAGGAAAGUAUAACUUGAUGAAGUAUUACCUCUUGAACCGGAAAGUGGUGCAACUCAAGAAAAUGUUCCCGAGGUGCCUGCACCGACUAGAGAGGAAGUUAAUGAUGAUGAUCAUGAAACUUCAGAUCAAGUUGCUACUGAACUUCGUAGGUCCACAAGGACACGUUCCGCACCAGAGUGGUACGACAACCAUGUCUUGAAAAUCAUGUUGUUAGACAACGGUGAACCUUCAAACUAUGAAGAAGCGAUGGCGGGCCUAGAUUCCAACAAAUGGCUUGAAGCCAUGCAAUCCGAGAUAGGAUCCAUGUAUGGAAACUAAGUAUGGACUUUGACAGACUUGCCCGAUGAUCGGCGAGCGAUAGAAAACAAAUGGGUCUUUAAGAAGAAGACCGACGCGGAUGGUAAUGUUACAAUCUAUAAAGCUCGACUUGUCGCUAAGGGUUAUCGGCAAGUUCAAGGGGGUUGACUACGAUGAGACUUUCUCUCCCGUAGCGAAGCUGAAGUCCGUCCGAAUUAUGUUAGCAAUUUCCGCAUACUAUGAUGAUGAGAUAUGGCAAAUGGACGUCAAAACGGCAUUCCUUAAUGGUUUCCUUAAGGAAGAAUUGUAUAUGAUGCAGCCGGAAGGUUUUGUCGACCCUAAGAAUGCUAACAAGGUAUGCAAGCUCCAGCGAUCCAUUUAUGGGCUGGUGCAAGCAUCUCGAAGUUGGAAUAUUCGCUUUGAUGAGAUGAUUAAAGCAUUUGGGUUUAUGCAGACUUAUGGAGAAGCCUGCAUUUACAAGAAAGUGAGUGGGAGCUCUGUAGCAUUUCUCAUAUUAUAUGUAGAUGACAUACUUUUGAUGGGAAAUGAUAUAGAACUUUUGGACAGCAUUAAGGCCUACUUGAAUAAGAGUUUUUCAAUGAAGGACCUUGGAGAAGCUGCUUAUAUAUUAGGCACCAAGAUCUAUAGAGAUAGAUCAAGACGCCUCAUAGGUCUUUCACAAAGCACAUACCUUGAUAAGAUAUUGAAGAAGUUCAAUAUGGAUCAGCCUAAGAAGGGAUUCUUGCCUGUGUUGCAAGGUGUGAAAUUGAGCUCAGCUCAAUGUCCGACCACGGCAGAAGAUAUAGAAGAGAUGAAUGUCAUCCCCUAUGCCUCAGCCAUAGGGUCUAUUAUGUAUGCCAUGCUGUGUACCAGACCUGAUGUAAACCUUGCCGUAAGUUUGGUAGGUAGGUACCAAAGUAAUCCCGGCAAGGAACACUGGACAGCGGUCAAGAAUAUCCUGAAGUACCUGAAAAGGACUAAGGACAUGUUUCUCAUUUAUGGAGGUGACGAAGAGCUCGUCGUAAAGGGUUACGCCGAUGCUAGCUUCGACACAGAUCUGGAUGACUCUAAGUCACAAACCGGAUAUGUGUAUAUGUUGAAUGGUGGAGCAGUAAGCUGGUGCAGCUGCAAGUAGAGCGUCAUGGCGGGAUCUACAUGUGAAGCGGAGUACAUGGCUGCCUCGGAGGCAGCACAUGAAGCAAUCUGGGUGAAGGAGUUCAUCACCGACCUAGGAGUCAUACCCAAUGCGUCGGGGCCGAUCAAGCUCUUCUGUGACAACACUGGAGCUAUUGCACUUGCCAAGGAGCCCAGGUUUCACAAGAAGACCAGGCACAUCAAGCGUCGCUUCAACUCCAUCCGUGAAAAUGUUCAAGAUGGAGACAUAGAAAUUUGUAAAGUACAUACGGAUCUGAAUGUCGCAGAUCCGUUGACUAAACCUCUCCCUUGGGCAAAACAUGAUCAACACCAGAACUCUAUGGGUGUUCGAUUCAUCACAAUGUAACUAGAUUAUUGACUCUAGUGCAAGUGGGAGACUGUUGGAAAUAUGCCCUAGAAGCAAUAAUAAAAGGAUUAUUAUUAUAUUUCCUUGUUCAUGAUAAUUGUCUUUUAUUCAUGCUAUAAUUGUGUUAUCCGGAAAUCGUAAUACAUGUGUGAAUACAUAGACACCAACAUGUCCCUAGUAAGCCUCUAGUUGACUAGCUCGUUGAUCAAUAAAUAGUCAUGGUUUCCUGACUAUGGACAUUGUAUGUCAUUGAUAAUGAGAUCACAUCAUUAGGAGAAUGAUGUGAUGGACAAGACCCAAUCCUAAACAUAGCACAAGAUCGUAUAGUUCGUUUGCUAGAGUUUUUCCAAUGUCAAGUAUCUUUUCCUUAGACCAUGAGAUCGUGUAACUCUCGGAUACUGUAGGAAUGCUUUGGGUGUACCAAACGUCACAAGGUAACUGGGUGACUAUAAAGGUAUACUACGGGUAUCUCCGAAAGUAUCUGUUGGGUUGACACGGAUCAAGACUGGGAUUUGUCACUCCGUAUGACGGAGAGGUAUCUCUGGGCCCACUCGGUAAUGAAUCAUUAUAAUGAGCUCAAAGUGACCAAGUGUCUGGUCACGGGAUCAUGCAUUACGGUACGAGUAAAGUGACUUGCCGGUAACGAGAUUGAACGAGGUAUUGGGAUACCGACGAUCGAAUCUCGGGCAAGUAAAAUACCGAUUGACAAAGGGAAUUGUAUACGGGGUUGCUUGAAUCCUCGACAUCGUGGUUCAUCCAAUGAGAUCAUCGAGGAGCAUGUGGGAGCCAACAUGGGUAUCCAGAUCCCGCUGUUGGUUAUUGAACGGAGAGCCGUCUCGGUCAUGUCUACAUGUCUCCCGAACCCGUAGGGUCUACACACUUAAGGUUCGGUGACGCUAGGGUUGUAGAGAUAUGAAUAUGCAGUAACCCGAAAGUUGUUAGGAGUCCCGGAUGAGAUCACGGACGUCAUGAGGAGUUCCGGAAUGGUCCGGAGGUGAAGAAUUAUAUAUAGGAAGUGCAGUUUCGGCCAUCGGGAGAGUUUCGGGGGUCACCGGUAUUGUACCGGGACGACCGAAAGGGUCCCAGGGGUCCACCGGGUGGGGCCACCCAUCCCGGAGGGGCCCAUGGGCUGAAGUGGGGAGGGGAACCAGCCCAUAGUGGGCUGGUGCGCCCCCUUUGGCCCAUCCCAUGCGCCUAGGGUUGGGAACCCUAGGGUGGGGGGGGCGCCCCACCUGGCUUGGGGGGCACUCCACCCCUUGGCCGCCGCCCCGCUAGGAGAUCCCAUCUCCUAGGGCCGCCGCCCCCCUAGGGGAGCCUAUAUAAAGGGGGGAGGGAGGGCAGCUGCACCCUGAAGUCUUGGCGCCUCCCUCUCCCCUGCUACACCUCUCCCUCUUGCAAUAGAACGGCGAAGCCCUGCUGCGGUGACUGCUGCCUCCACCACCACAUCGUCGUGCUGCUGGAUCUUCAUCAACCUCUCCUUCCCCCUUGCUGGAUCAAGAAGGAGGAGACGUCACGCUGACCGUAUGUGUGUUGAACAUGAAGGUGCCGUCCAUUCGGCGCUAGGAUCUCCGGUGAUUUGGAUCACGUCGAGUACGACUCCCUCAUCCCCGUUCUCUUGAACGCUUCCGCUCGCGAUCUACAAAGGUAUGUAGAUGCAUCCGAUCACUCGUUUCUAGAUGAACUCAUAGAUGGAUCUUGGUGAAAACAUAGGAACUUUUUUUGUUUUCUGCAACGUUCCCCAACACCUCGGCCAUGUGGUUGGGUUCAGCCUUUGUGUACCGCGUCUUCACCAUGGCCCAGGCCUCCCUAGCGCCUUGACGGCAGGCCGAUAUCUUCCACAAUCGGAAGCACCGCCGUGCUCCCUUUAGCUUCUCCGCAAGCUCUCCAAGACCUUCGGGCAUGGAGAUGGAUGGCCACAGGGCCUGGGCGACGCCUUGCAUCGCCUGCCGAACUCGAUCUAGCAGUUGCGAGAGCUCGGGAAGAAGGUCACCCGUAGAACCGGGCAUCUCCUCUGUAGGACGACCUGUUAGCACACCUACAGACAUUGCUCUAUUAGUCGACUUCCCCGCCGAACUUUCUUUCAAAGGUUCAUUCAAGCACUUACUAAAUAUGCCGCGCCGAAGCCGCUGAUUCUCCUUAACGGAGUCUGACAGCUGGGCACGAACAUCUUUCAGCUCGACGCCCAGCUUGGUGUUGGCAUCUUGGAGAUCGUUAUUCUCCCGCCUCACCUUUGUCAGCACCUUCUCACCAGCCUUUAGCUGGCGUAGGAGGUGUUGCCUUUCCGGAUUCAAUCCGGCGCCAUCUGCAAUUUCAUUUGUCAGAUUCGCACCCAUGCCGUGCUUCGCAAAAUACUUAUCUUUCGAAGUGUAUAUUACCAGAGGGGGUCUCCUUGGGCUCCCCUGCCGCGGCUAGUGCGGCCUCAAGUUGGGCUUUGCACUCUUCCAGCUCCUUGGACAGUAGGGAAUUCUUUUCUGUAAGAACCUGCAUAACAAAUGAUCCUUAAAUCAGUUAUUCUAACUGUUUCAAGUCUCGGGGGCUACUCGUAUAUAUAUAUAAUUACCAAAAUUUUCUUACCCGUAUGUCUUUUACAUAUUGCUCCGUGGCUCUGGCUAGACCAUUUUGAGCGGCACGGAGGUACGCAUCUCCCGAAUUAAAGGCAUCUAAUGCCUCUUGGGAGAAACAAGCGUCGCGAAGAAUUAUCCGGCGACGCCUGUGGUUCAUGGCACCCUCCACCUCAGAGUUGGUGGCAGACAACCUGUCCACAUCCUCCAUCGGAGGAGCGUCUGGUGCACGCCUUGUGUUCGCCUCCGCCUCCGGACCAGGCUUUGGAGCCUGGCUAGUGGAGGCACGGUUGGCAGCCUCUCCGGGUAUAGUCCGGCGAGGUCUCUUUGUCCUGAAGAGAGCACAAGUGUUAAUAUGCCUCGCAGGUGUAACACCUGGGAUAAGGGGGCGCGCCAUACCUUUGCACUGACACCUCUGUCCGGACUACGCCUCUUUUCUGCCCACGGGGCCCUGCGGCCCCUCGUUGCCUUGCCGCCGCAGGUUCGGCCUCUCGUCUCAAAAACCUCCCCUGCAAAGCUCGGUUGUAAUCAGGAAACUAAAAGCACGAGAGGGUGGACACCUAUUCGGGGUACUGGGACUUUGAUCUCAGUUACCCGGGAGGCCGGGAUUAGCCCUGGGUAAUCGGCCAUAAUGGCCACCAAGGCGUUGUCCUUGCUCAAUUGAUGGAACACUCCAUUGAUCAGCUCCACAGAUAUGUCCGGAUCCUCUUGAGAGGCCGGGUCAAGGGACCGUCCUGGGUCCUCGGGUUGUGGAGGAGGGCUGUUUAUUUCCUUAACAGCCCGGCGCAGUUCCUGCGUUGAAGUCGUUAGACUGAAUAUUUAACAAUGGGAAUACAAAACGGAUGGGCAAGUAAAUGCGAUCGCUUACCUAGCUUGGGGGAUUGUGCAUAGAGAAUCCACCCUGUGGGUUGACGCGGAGAAAUUCCUCCUCUUCUCCCUUGUACAAAGUGGACAAGAUCUUCAGUAGAGCGGCAGCUGAAUCCGGCCCCUUAUGGCCGUAGCGGGUGGCGUCGUCCUCCCCGUUGAAGUCCCACGUGGGGUGGCUUCUAUACUGAAGCAGCUGCACCCCCCGCAUGAUGCAUUCGGCCAUAACCCCGAUCAUGGUCAGUCCGGAAUGGGCUAACAAUCUUAUCUGGCCCAUCAGGUAAAUGAUGUCCCUGUCACUUUCCCUUUGAGGGCUCCGUGGACACCAGCUUAGGCGCUUCUUUAAGGGAGCACUAUCGAAUUCAGGGAGGCCGAUCCGGACAGGAUCCGGUAGCAGGACGUCCUCUAUAUAAAACCAUUCAUAGGGCCAGUCUUCGGAUGCCUUCUUUGGGGUUCCGGACAGAUAUCCGGUCCCAGCGAUGUGCCACACUUCGGCUCCGCCCACUUGAUACAUUGACCCCUCCUUAGAGCGGGGCACAAGGCAGAAUAACUUUUUCCAUAGCCCGAAAUGAGCCUCGACACCCAAAAACAGCUCGCAGAGGGCUAGUAAGCCCGCGAUAUGCAAUACGGAGGCAGGCGUGAGAUUGUGUAGCUGGAGGCCGUAGAACUCCAGCAGCCCCCGGAGAAAUGGAUGGAUUGUAAACCCGAGGCCCCUUAUUAAAUAAGGGACGAGGCAUACCCGCUCUCCUUUGGAGGGAUUAGGGGCACUCUCCGCUUGCUUUCCGCCGUUAUAGAUGGCAAGACUGGCUCGAACCGGGAUCAUAUAGGCCGGGGGAAGAAAUCCCUUGGUCUGGAGCGUCACUAGCUCGCUAUGCGGGACGGAGCAUCUCUCCCAAUAUCCAGGCUGAGGGCUAGAAGGGCGAAAGGAGGAGUUGCGAUGGCUGGCCAUGGUGGAAUGGACCUUUGUCAGAUGCGCUCUGAUGAACACUCGCGAAGGGGCGAAGAUGUGGUUUGGAUCUAAAUCCUCGUCCCCUUAAAUAGGGCAGCUCAUUUACGCGGCUAGGGGUGUGAAUGUAAAAACACUCAGACUUUUCAUAUUCGUCUGACACGUGGGAAACGACCAUUAUUGGGCGUAGAAGCCAAGGAGCGCAAUAUCUACAAGAAACCAGACUUUAUUCAACAGGUACACGGAAUUUGGAGGAGAACCCGCCUUGCAAUGCCGAAGACAAUAUGCGCGCCGGACUCAUCGUCAUUGAAGCCUAGUUCGGGGGCUACUGAGGGAGUCCUGGAUAAGGGGGUGUUCGGAUAGCCGGACUAUACCUUCAGCCGGACUCCUGGACUAUGAAGAUAUAAGAUUGAAGACUUCGUCCCGUGUCCGGAAGGGACUUUCCUUGGCGUGGAAGGCAAGCUUGGCGAUACGAAUAUGCGGAUCUCCUACCAUUGUAACCGACUUUGUGUAACCCUAACCCUCUCCGGUGUCUAUAUAAACCGGAGGGUUUUAGUCCGUAGAACAACAUACACAGCAACAAUCAUAGGCUAGCUUCUAGGGUUUAGCCUCUCCGAUCUCGUGGUAGAUCUACUCUUGUACUACCCAUAUCAUCAAUAUUAAUCAAGCAGGACGUAGGGUUUUACCUCCAUCGAGAGGGCCCGAACCUGGGUAAAACUUCGUGUCCCUUGCCUCAUGUUACCAUCCGGCCUAGACGCACAGUUCGGGACCCCCUACCCGUGAUCCGCCGGUUUUGACACCGACAGCCACUCAUAAGGAAGGCAAUCAAUAAAUAAAUCAUGCUCCGACUUCAUCACAUAACGGUUCACCAUACGUGCAUGAUACGGGAAUCACAAACUUCAACACAAGUAUUUCUCAAAUUCAGAACUACUCAACUAGAAUGACUGUAAUAUCACCAUCUUUAUAUCUCAAAACAAUCAUCAAUUAUUAAUCUUCUCAUAGUAUUCAAUGCACAUUAUAUGGAAGUUUUUAUUAAAUCCAUCUUGGAUGCCCAUCAUAUUAGGACUAGUUUCAUAACCAAAGCAAAUUACCAUGUUGUUCUAAAAGACUCUCAAAAUAAUAUAAGUGAAGCAUGAGAGUUCAACAAUUUCUUCAAAAUAAAACCACCGACGUGCUCUAAAAAGAUAUAAGUGAAGCACUAGAGCAAAUGACAAACUACUCCAAAAGAUAUAAGUGAAGAUCAAUGAGUAGUCGAGUAAUUAUGCAACUAUGUGAAGACUCUCUAACAUUUAAGAAUUUCAGAUCUUGGUAUUUUAUUCAAACAGCGAGCAAAACAAAAUAAAAUAAAAUGACGCUCCAAGCAAAGCACAUACAUGUGGUGAAUAAAAAUAUAGCUCCAAGUAAAGUUACCGAUGAACGAAGACGAAAGAGGGGAUGCCUUCUGGGGCAUCCCCAAGCUUAGGCUCUUGGUUGUCCUUGAAUAUUACCUUGGGGUGCUUUGGGAAUCCUCAAGAUUAGGCUCUUGCCACUCCUUAUUCCUUAGUCCAUCGAAUCUUCACCCAAAACUUGAAAACUUCACAACACAAAACUUAACAGAAAACUUGUAAGCUCCGUCAGUAUAAGAAAAUAAAUCACCACUUAAGUACUGUUGCAAACUCAUUCUAAAUUCAUAUUGGUGUAAUAUCUACUGUAUUCCAAAUUCUAUAUGGUUCAUACCCUCCGAUACUACUCAUAGAUUCAUCAAAAUAAGCAAACAAUCACAUAGAGAACAUAAUUUGUCAAAAACAGGACAGUCUGUAGUAAUCUGUAGGUUUCGAAUACUUCUGUAACUCCAAAAAUCCUGAGAAAUUAGGAAGUCCUAGGCAAUUUGUUUAUUAAUCUACUGCAAGUGGAAUUGGUAUUUCAUCCCUCUCUGGUAAACAAUAAAAAUUAUUCUCGUGAGCGCAUACUUUCUGUUCUUUUACAACAAGAUCAAAUAACAAUCACCCAAGAAGAUCCUAAAGGCUUUACUUGGCACGAACACUAACUAAAACAUAAAAACACAAUCAUAACAUAGGAUAGAUGAUUAAUUUAUUACUAAACAGGAACAAAAAGCAAGGAGCAAAAAUAAAAUUGGGUUGCCUCCCAACAAGCGCUAUCGUGUAACGCCCCUAGUUAGGCAUGAUGAUUUCAAUGAUGCUCACAUAAAGAAUAAGAAUUGAAACAUAAAGAGAGCAUCAUGAAGAAUAUGACUAGCACAUUUAAGUCUAACCCACUUCCUAUGCAUAGGGACUUUGUGAGCAAAUAACUUGUGGGAACAAGAAUCAACUUGCAUAGGAAGGUAAAACAGGCAUAACUUCGAAACUUUAAGCACAUAGAGAGGAAACUUGAUAUUAUUGCAACUCCUACAAGCAUAUAUUCCUCCCUCAUAAUAAUUUUCAGUAGCAUCAUGAAUGAAUUAAACAAUAUAACUAUCACAUAAAGCAUUUUUUUCAUGAUCUACAAGCAUAGAAUUUUUAUUACUCUCCACAUAAGAAAAUUUCUUCUCAUGAAUAGUAGUGGGAGCAAACUCAACAAAAUAACUAUCAUGUGAGGCAUAAUCCAAUUGAAAGAUAAAAUCAUGAUGACAAGUUUCAUGGAUAUCAUUAAUCUUUAUAGCAUACAAGUCAUCACAAUAAUCAUCAUAGGUAGCAACUUUGUUCUCAUCAUAAUCGAUUGAAACCUCUUCCAAGAUAGUGGAAUCAUUACUAAAUAAAGUCAUGACCUCUCCAAAUCCACUUUCAUAAUUAUCACAAUAAGGUUCAACAUUCUCCAAAAUAAUGGGAUUACUACUUCCUAAAUUUGACACUCUUCCAAACCCACUUUCAUAAUUAUCACAAUAAGAUUCAACAUUCUCCAAAAUAAUGGGAUUACUACUUCCUAAAUUUGACACUCUUCCAAACCCACUUUCAUCAAUAUAAUCAUCAUAAGUAGGAGGCAUGCUAUCAUCAUAACAAAUUUGCAUAUCAAAACUUGGGAGGCUAAAAAUAUCAUCUUCAUCAAACGUAGCAUCCCCAAGCUUGGGACAGACAUUAAUUGCAGCAAAUAUAUUCUCAAACAUGUCAUUCUCAUCAAACAUAGCAUCCCCAAGCUUGGGCCUUUUCAUAUUAUAAGCAUAAUCACUCUCAUCAUUAAUAGUAUGGAUAGCACCGAUAGUAUAACAAUUAUCAUCAUCACAAUGAGUAGUAGGAGAAACAUCAUCUGGGAGGGAUACCUUUCUAACUUUGCUUCUCCAUCUUUUCUUUUUCUUUUUCACAUCAUGUGUGGGUGACAGUGUCCUGGACUAGGGGGUAUUCAACACGUCAUCUCCUGAUCUGUUAGACUGGGUCGAGGACCCCUAUGGCCGUAUACUCAUGGCCAGUUCGGACAGCUGCCGCAUCCAUGGAAGAUUCCACAAGACUUGGUGAUCAAGACAAGGACUCCUCCCCACCGACGUAUUCGGCUAGGACUCUUGUUAUCCUAGGCCAUUGGUGCAUUAUAUAAACUGGGGCCAGGAUAGUCGAUAGAGAACAUGUACAACAAUCAUAAUCAUAGGCUAGCCUCUAGGGUUUAGCAUCUACGAUCUCGCGGUAGAUCAACUCUUGUAAUACUCAUAUCAUCAAGAUCAAUCAAGCAGGAAGUAGGGUAUUACCUCCAUCGAGAGGGCCCGAACCUGGGUAAACACCGUGUCCCCUGUCUCCGGUUACCAUCGACCUUAGACACAUAGUUCAGGACCCCCUAUCCGAGAUCCACCGGUUUUGACACCGACAAUGGUGCUUUCAUUGAGAGUUUGGCUGUGUGAUCGGCAAAGGAUCAAUGGCUCGCCGCAGAUCAACUAUGACGCCGACAUCUUCGUCGCCGGCUCGACUGGUCACCUCGGCUCGACUGAGGACCACGCUCCAUCUCCGAUCGUCGUGUUCGGAUGGGGGCCUUCAUCAACAUCAACUCCGAUCUCUAUCAAGAUCAUGGAGGAAUCAUCCAUGGAGCUCGGGGGCUCAACGUCAACAUUACCCUCGGGCGACCGUGUUGUUUUUUCCGAACAACGAACUUGUAUCCGCUUCCACCGCCUCCUCGAGCAUCGCUUUGACGAUUCCUUUGGUGGAAUUGUGCGGAAUUGAGUCUACAACAACCAUGCAAAAUUUUGUCGAGUUUCGAUGGAGGAAUCUUUGACAAUCUACGAUAUACCGGAGUCAUGUCUAAUCUGGACGGGAAUCUGGACGACUUUAGGGCGUGGUCUCCAGCACCUAGCUCCGACGUCCUUUGGAAGAUCCAAUCGUUGAUCGGCUACGGAAUUCCUAUAUCUACCACCCCUCCAAAUUUCAGCUUGAUCCGACCGUCCAAACUCCGGGAACCUUCUGAUUGGUGCAUCACUUUUCGGAUCUGUUUUCUGCGCGAAUACGGAUCCGACCCGAAUUCAUGUUUCUUUAUGAACGUGAUAUGGGACAACCUUCUUAAAGGAAUUUGCUCCUAGGGUAUUGUGCACUGUUUUUAAACACGUGCCCAUAAAAUUUUAAGCCUCCUCUAAGGUAAUCUUCACUAUCAUGCUGGUGUCAAACCAGUCCGGCAAUACUGCUCCACGGCUGCCGACCUGCGCUAGACACGUCGUCGCCUUUUGAGCCGAGCUCAACUUCUUCGGAUCAUCAUCUCGGCGAGCGAACAAGAGUUCAGAAUCACCAAGGAUAAAUCAUCACCAACAUCGCCGCCCCACGGAUUACACGGAGCGGGAACACAGGCAUCGCCGCACGGUCACUUCAUCAAGCCGGCAUCGACCACGUCAUGACCGGGAUCGGCAGGGCCGCACUAUUGCUUCUUCAAGCCAAUGUCCAUCAUGCCGACCUACUUCGACUCAUCGGCUGACAUCGAGGCUUCGAUAUCUCGGCUGGACUGGGGGCUUCGCCAUCUCUUCAUCAACCUACUUUGGAGACUUCAGCGUCACUAGCCGACUAGCUUCGUCACGUUAGCUGGACCGAGGGCUUUGCCUCCGCAAGCCAAGCUUUGCCAGCAUCGCCAUGCCGUCGCUUUAUCGCCCAUCAGGCAAUGGGUGUGUGGAUCGAGUCCCAAUUUUGGGAGUCACCUUUCUUCGGAUUGCUACAACAAAUAAACCAGGUGCUAUUAAUCCUAGUAAUUUUUGCUUGUUGGAGUUUAUUUUUUCCAAGAAAUUAUUACUCUGGUUUGUUCCUGUACACAGGUCUAUCAAAUGAUGUCCACACUAACGACGAUCGCGUGGUGGUUCGGUCAGUUUCCGUACAUAGUCCGGCGAACGCCGCAUCCGGAACUUGGACCGACCUAUGAAUUCAGGCUUUGCCAGACUUUUACCGCAUCAUGUCGACGCCCUGCAUCGACAUUGACUUCGGCGCCAGGCCAUAUUUCUUUUAUUACUCACUUUGCCUAAAUUAUUUAUUAUGCAUUUUUUUAAUUAUCAGUACUAUUAUCUCCGGUUUGAACUAUUUUUUGUGCACAGGAAAAUGAUCCGGUUGGGCAGUAUCGUCAACUCGGCGUACUGACAUACCAUGUCACCUCAGCUGGACGGGGGGGUUCGUCAACACUUCAUUACCCCAUGCCGGGGACUUUGGCAUCACUCUGCCGGCCUGCAUUGACCGUGCUAUGUCACCACUUCGGAGUGUCGAGCCCUUUGCUCCGCCACCUCGGGACCGGCUUGGGGGAUGAAACCUUGUCCCACAUCAAGCUCGGACCGCGUCAUCAAUACCAAACACAUUAACCAGCUGAGUUUCCUUCAUGCUCAAAGUUUUAAAUUUUUAACUUGUGUUCGGUUCGACCAAGCAUUAUACAUUUUUGGAAAAAAGUUGCUUGUAAAAAUUUUCCUUGUCCAAACUUUGUUUGUGACGCACAAAUUCAAAUACCCCGUUUAUUUGGGGGCUUCCUUUAUGAAGCUUUUCCUCUUGCAUAUGAUUAUACUUGUACGGCUUCGUUCCUUGUUCGUGUAUUACGCCACAAUAUGCACCAUAUUGACUUAAGCGAUUUGCAAGCUGGGUUGCCUGGCCCCUGUGCUUACCCCUACGUUCCCGAUUGUUCGCCUAGGGAGUAAAGGGAGCACCUCUGCGAUUGUCACGACCGGGUCCUCCGAGCUCUGACCUCAGACUGGGUGAAGCCGAAAGCUAGCGCUCUUAUUGUUUUCAAUCAUGGUGCCACACAACGGAACUCAUGAGUACAAAAAUUCUAUUGCACAAGUCUCAUAGUAAUAAUGAGCACCGUAGAAAGGUAUCGGUGGGGGUACUAUUUUCUUUGAAGAUGCUUAUUACACUUCGUCUGUAAUAUAGCAUAAGUUCCCUGAGCGCGCUUUGUCUGUUACAGCCUUAUGGCCCGGUUGCCUGGUUAUCGGAAACACUGUCGAUAUUCUAGGCAGGUGGAGUACAUAACACUUUUUGGUCCUUGACCGAAGAGGGAGAAGCCGAUGGUCGGUUAAGGCGCGUUUAAAGUUCGGGUGAACAAAGAUAUGAUAUUAGUACUUUGGUACAUACAAUCAUUAUACAUAAAAUUCUUUUACCCAAGUCACUUGGGGGCUCUUAAAUUUAUAUGAGCCGUUUUAUAAUAAGUGUUCUUCUUCUUAGUUGUUGCAAAGUUUUUAUUACUAUUAUUAUUCAUCACUCCUUUUUUCGACAUGAGUGUGUGGUCACUAGCCGGGGAGCCUAAUUUCUCUCUCAAAGCCGCUAGAGUUUAGUUUGCUAAACUGGCCUAAUGAGAAGUACUCCGCCUUUGGGAUAGGAGGUUGAAGCUAUAGGCUCACCCGCUUGGAGUCUUGAGAUAGGAUGUGUCAUGUUAAAGCACGACAGAAGCACUCUUUUUUUCUAAGACCAAUUUUCGGAUUGGCACCGAACACUUGAUCUUGUUCGGACGUCAUGUUUUUACUGACGUUUUUUGGUUUUCCAAGCUUUUGGCACUUUUAAACUAUUUGUGUGUUUUCAGCACAAGUCUUGUAGUGCAACGCUGGACACCUUUAGAGAUUCGGCAGAAACAUUCUCGGAUAUUGCUAUAUAUGCAUCAUUUUCGAAUUGUGUCUUCGAUCAAUAGUUGGGUUGCCCGGCUCUUGCGCUUGCCUCCUAUGUUCCGCUUUGUUUGGCUAGAUGUGCAAAGGGAGAACCACUACGAUUGUGCUUCCAGCUCACAUGGUUAAGCACCUCAGUGGAGAAAGCCAAAAGCUGACUAUCACAAUAAGCGUAAACUGGUCAGCGAUCCGAUGAAUGUGUUAUAUGAUGGGCCAUUCAUAACAUUGGCCGAAGUGUUUACGGCUUGACCUCGACCGUCGCCGAACACUACCGGGGGCUAGUAACUGGCCUCCCAAACUAAAUCCUCAAUAUUUUGCUCUUACAUUAGAGCUGAGAUUUCAUGAUCAUGCUUAGCAUGACAACCCAAAGAAAGGAACCGCUAGCGGGACUAUUUUCUUUGGAAGACAUUUCUUAUGUUAAAUAGUAAUAUAACAUAUCUCUCCGCGUACCUUUGUUUAUAAAACCGUAUCGCCAGUUUUCCUUGUUUGUCGUAAAUCCUUGCCCUCAUAAAGGCUUUAUAAAGUAGGACAAACAUGUUGGGGAUCGUAGCAGAAAUUCAAAAUUUUCCUAUGUGUCACCAAGGUCAGUCUACGGAGAGACUAGCAACAAGAGAGAGGAGUGCAUCUUCAUACCCUUGAAGAUCACAAUGCGGAAGCGUUACAAGAAAACGGGGUUGAUGGAGUCGUCCUCGUCGUGAUCCAAAUCACCGAUGAUCCUAGCGCCGAACGGACGGCACCUCCACGUUCAACACACAUACAGAGCGGAGAUGUCUCCUCCUUCUUGAUCCAGCAAGGGGGGAGGAGAAGUUGAAGGAGAUCCAGCAGCACGACGACGUGGUGGUGGAAGUAGCGGGAUCCCGACAGGGCUUCUCCAAGUGCAAGCGGGGAGGAAGAGGUGUCACGGGAGGGAGGGAGGCGCCAGGGCUUCAGGUGUGGCUGCCCUCCCUCCCCUCCACUAUAUAUAGGGGCAUAGGAGGGCGCCGGCCCCUUGUAGAUCCCAUCUAAGGAGGGGGCGGCAGCCCUAGGGGUGGCUUGGCCUCCAAGCCAAGUGGAGGCGCCCCCACCCCUUAGGGUUUCCAACCCUAGGCGCAUGGGAGGCCCAAUGGGGGGGGCGCACCAGCCCACCAGGGGCUGGUUCCCAUGCCCCUUCAUCCCAUGGGGCCCUCCGGGAUAGGUGGCCCCACCCGGUGGACCCCCGGGACCCUUCCGGUGGACCCCCGGGACCCUUCCGGUGGUCCCGGUACAAUACCGAUGACCCCAAAACUCUCCCGGUGGCCGAAACUGGACUUCGUAUAUAUAAAUCUUUACCUCCGGACCAUUCCAGAACUCCUCGUGACGUCCGGGAUCUCAUCCGGGACUCCGAACAACUUUAGGUUAACCACAUACUAAUAUCUCUACAACUCUAGCGUAACCGAACCUUAAGUGUGUAGACCCUACGGGUUCGGGAGACAUAUAGACAUGACCAAGACAACUCUCCGGCCAAUAACCAACAGCGGGAUCUGGAUACCCAUGUUAGCUCCCACAUGUUCCACGAUGAUCUCAUCGGAUGAACCACGAUGUCAAGGAUUCAAUCAAUCCCGUAUACAAUUCCCUUUGUCCAUCAGUACGAUACUUGCCCGAGAUUCGACCGUCCGUAUCCUGAUACCUCGUUCAAUCUCGUUACCGGCAAGUCUCUUUACUCGUUCCGUAACACAUCAUCCCGUGAUCAACUCCUUGGUCACAUUGUGCACAUUAUGAUGAUGUCCUACCGAGUGGGCCCAGAGAUACAUCUCCAUUACACGGAGUGACAAAUCCCAGUCUCGAUUCGUGCCAACCCAACAGACACUUUUGGAGAUACCCAUAGUGCACCUUUAUAGCCACCCAGUUACGUUGUGACGUUUGGUACACCCAAAGCAUUCCUACGGUAUCCGAGAGUUGCACAAUCUCAUGGUCUAAGGAAAUGAUACUUGACAUUAGAAAAGCUUUAGCAUACGAACUACACGAUCUUGUGCUAGGCUUAGGAUUGGGUCUUGUCCAUCACAUCAUUCUCCUAAUGAUGUGAUCCCGUUAUCAACGACAUCCAGUGUCCAUGGUCCGGAAACCGUAACCAUCUAUUGAUCAACGAGCUAGUCAACUAGAGGCUUACUAGGGACAUGGUGUUUGUCUAUGUAUCCACACAUGUAUCUGAGUUUCCUAUCAAUACAAUUCUAGCAUGGAUAAUAAACGAUUAUCAUGAACAAGGAAAUAUAAUAAUAACUAAUUUAUUAUUGCCUCUAGGGCAUAUUUCCAACAGUCUCCCACUUGCACUAGAGUCAAUAAUCCAGUUCACAUCGCCAUGUGAUUAAAGCUCAAGGUCACAUCCCCAUGUGACUAACACCCAAAGAGUUUACUAGAGUCAAUAAUCUAGUUCACAUUACUAUGUGAUUAACACUCAAUGAGUUCUGGGUUUGAUCAUGUUAUGCUUGUGAGAGAUGUUAUAGUCAAUGGGUCUGAACCUUUCAGAUCCGUGUGUGCUUUACAAAUCUCUAAGUCAUCUUGUAGAUGCAGCUACCACGCUCUAUUUGGAGCUAUUCCAAAUAACUGUUCUACUAUACGAAUCCGGUUUACUACUCAGAGUCAUCCGGAUUAGUGUCAAAGAUUGCAUCGGCGUAACCCUUUACGACGAACUAUUUUACCACCUCCAUAAUCAAGAAAAUUCCUUAGUCCACUAGUUACUAAGGAUAAGUUCGACCAUUGUCAUGUGAUCCAUUCCUGGAUCACUCUUGUACCCCUUGACUGACUCAUGGCAAGGCACACUUCAGGUGCGGUACACAUCAUAGCAUACUAUAGAGCCUACGUCUAAAACAUAGGGGACGAUCUUCGUCCUUUCUCUAUUCUGCCGUGGUCAGGUCUUGAGUUUUACUCAAUACUCAUACCUUAUAACACAACCAAGAAAACUCCUUCAAGAUCUUGUCACGGUAUGUAUUCAUUUGAAAGUACUAUUAAGCGUUUUGAUCUAUCCUUAUAGAUCUUGAUGCUCAAUGUUCAAGUAGCUUAAUCCAGGUUUUCCAUCGAAAAACACUUUUCAAAUAACCCUGCAUGCUUUCCAGAAAUUCUACAUCAUUUUUGAUCAACAAUAUGUUAACAACAUAUACUCAUCAAAAAUUCUAUAGUGCUCCCACUCACUUCUUUGGAAACACAAGUUUCUCAUAAACUUUGUAUAAACCCAAAAUCUUUGAUCAUCUCAUCAAAGCGUACAUUCCAACUCCGAGAUGCUUACUCCAGUCCUUAGAAGGAUUGCUAGAGCUUUGCAUACUUGUCAGCAUCUUUCAGGAUUGACAAAACUUUCUAGUUUUGUCACAUACAACCUUUCCUCAAGGAAAAUGUCGAGGAAACAAUGUUUUGACAUCCUAUCUGCAAGAUUUCAUAAAUAAUGCAGUAACUGCUAACAUAAUUCCAACAGAUUCUUAGCAUCGCUACGAGUGAGAAAGUCUCAUCGGGAAACAUUUUAAUGACAAGUCGAGCUUUCUUAAUGGUGACACUUACCAUCAUUGUAUGUCUUCCUUUUAAAAUCCAUCUGCACCUAAUAGCCUUACGACCAUCAAGUAGUUCUUUCAAAGUCUAUACUUUGUUUUUAUACAUGGAUCCUCUCUCAGAUUUUAUGGCCUCGAGCCAUUCGUCGGAAUCCGGGCCCACCAUCGCUUCUCCAUAGCUCGUAGGUUCAUUGUUGUCUAGCAACAUGACUUCCAAGACAGGAUUAUGUACCACUCUGAAGAAGUAUGCAUCCUUAUCGACCUAUGAGGUUUGGUAGUGACUUGAUCCGAAGUUUCAUGAUCACUAUCAUAAGCUUCCACUUCAAUUGGUGUAGGUGCCACAGGAACAACUUCAUGUGCCCUGCUACACACUUGUUGAAGUGACGGUUCAAUAACCUCAUCAAGUCUCCACCAUCCUCCCACUCAAUUCUUUCGAGAGAAACUUUUCCUCGAGAAAGGACCCAUUUCUAGAAACAAUCACUUUUGCUUCCGGAUCUGAAAUAGGAGGUAUACCCAACUAUUUUUGGGUAUUCUAUGAAGAUUCAUUUAUCCGCUUUGGGUUCGAGCUUAUCAGCCUAAAACUUUUCCAUAUAAGCAUCGCAGCCCCAAACUUUUAAGAAACGACAGCUUAGGUUUCUCUAAACCAUAGUUCAUACGGUGUCGUCUCAACGGAAUUGUGUGGUGCCCUAUUUAAAGUGAGUGCGGUUGUCUCUAAUGCCUAACCCAUAAACGAUAGUGGUAAUUUGAUAAGAGACAUCAUGGUAUGCACCAUAUCCAAUAGGGUGCAGUUGUGAUGUUCGGACACACCAUCACACUAUGGUGGUCCAGGCGGUAUUAGUUGUGAAACAAUUUCCACAAUGUCUUAAUUGUGUGCCAAACUCGUAACUCAGAUAUUCAUCUCUAUGAUCAUAUCAUAGACAUUUUAUCAUCUUGUCAUGACGAUCUUCAACUUCACUCUGAAAUUACUUAAACCUUUCAAUAAUUCAGACUUGUGUUUCAUCAAGUAAAUAUACUCAGCAUUUACUCAAAUCAUCUGUGAAGUAAGAACAUAACGAUAUCCACUGCGUGCCUCAACACUCAUUGGACUGCACACAUCAAAAUGUAUUACUUCCAACAAGUUGCUUUCUUGUUCCAUCUUACUGAAAACGAGGCCUUUCAGUCAUCUUGCCCAUGUGGUAUGAUUUGCAUGUCUCAAGUGAUUCAAAAUCAAGUGAGUCCAAAUGAUCCAUCUGCAUGGAGUUUCUUCAUGCAUAUCUACCAAUAGACAUGGUUCGCAUGUCUCAAUCUUUUAAAAAACGGGCGAGUCCAAAGAUCCAUCAACAUGGAGCUUCUUCAUGCGUUUUAUACCAACAUGACUCAAAUGGCAGUGCCACAAGUACGUGGUACUAUCAUUACUAUCUUAUAUCUUUUGGCAUGAACAUGUGUAUCACUACGAUCAAGAUUCAAUAAACCAUUCAUUUUAGGUGCAAGACCAUUGAAGGUAUUAUUCAAAUAAACAUAGUAACCAUUAUUCUCCUUAAAUGAAUAACCGCAUGGCGAUAAACAUAAUCCAAUCAUGUCUAUGGUCAACGCAAACACCAAAUAACAAUUGUUUAGGUUUAACACCAAUCUCGAUGGUAGAGGGAUCAUGCAAUGCUUGAUCACAUCAACCUUGGAAACACUUCCAACACAUACCAUCAUCUCACCUUUAGCUAGUCUCUGUUUAUUCCGUAGCCUUUUAUUUCGAGUUACUAAGACUUAGCAACUGAACCAGUAUUUUAAUACCCUGGUGCUACUAGGAGUACUAGUAAAGUACACAUUAAUAUAACGUAUUUCGAAAAUACUUCUGUCGACCAUGCCAGCCUUCUCAUCUACCAAGUAUCUAGGGUAGUUCUGCUUCAGUGACCGUUCUCCUCAUUAUAGAAGCACUUAGUCUCGGGUUUGGUUCAACCUUGGGUUUCUUCACUAGAGCAGCAACUGAUUUGCCCUCUCAUGAAGUAUCCCUUCUUUCCCUUGCCCUUCUUGAAACCAGUGGUUUACCUAUCAACAAUGGAUGCUCCUACUUGAUUUCUACUUUCGCGGUGUCAAACAUCACGAGUUGCUCAAGGAUCAUCAUGUCUAUCCCUAAUAUGUUAUAGUUCAUCACAAAGCUCCAAUAGCUUGGUGGCAGUGACUAUGGAGAGUCAUCACUAUCUCAUCUGGAAGAUUAACUCCCAUUCGAUUCAAGCGAUUGUAGUACUCAGACAAUCUGAGCACAUGCUCAACGAUUGAGCUUUUCUCCCUUAGUUUGCAGGCUUAAGAAACUUGUCAGAGGUCUCAUACCUCUUGACGCGGGCACUAGUCUGAAAUUCCAAUUUCAGUCUUUGGAACAUCUCAUAUGUUCUGCGACGUUUCAAAACGUCUUUGGUGCCACAAUUCUAAACCGUUAGUAUUACGUACUGAACUAUCACAUAGUCAUCAAAAUGUGUAUGUCAGAUGUUUACCAACAUCUACAGACGAUGCUCGAGGUUCAACGCACUGAGCGGUGCAUUAAGGACAUAGCCCUUCUGUGCAGCAAUGAGGACAACCCUCAGCUCACGGACCCAGUCCGCAUAAUUGCUACUGUCAACUCUCAACUAAAUUUUCUCUAGGAAUAUAUCUAAAAUAGUAGAACGAAAGCGUGAGCUACGACAUAAUUUGCAAAGACCUUUUGACUAUGUUCAUGAUAAUUAAGUUCAUCUAAUCAAAUUAUUCAAUGAACUCCCACUUAGAUAGACAUCCUUGUAGUCAUCUAAGUGAUACAUGAUCCGAGUCAACUAGGCCGUGUCUGAUCAUCACAUGAGAUGGACUAGUCAUCAUCGUUGAACAUCUUCAUGUUGAUCGUAUCCACUAUACUGUUGGGGAUCGUAGCAGAAAUUUGAAAUUUUCUACGCAUCACCAAGAUCAAUCUAUGGAGUAAUCUAACAAUGAGGGGAAGGAGAGUGCAUCUACAUACCCUUAUAGAUAAGCGGAAGCGUUGCAAGAACGCGGAUGAAGGAGUCGUACUCGUAGCGAUUCAGAUCGCGGUUGAUUCCGAUCUAAGCGCCGAACCACGGCGCAUCCGUCUUCAACACACGUGCAGCACGGUGACAUCUCCUACGCCUUGAUCCAGCAAGGGGAGAAUGAGAGGUUGGGGAAGACUCCAUCCAGCAGCAGCACGACGGCAUGGUGGUGAAGGAGGAGCGUGGCAAUCCUGCAAGGCUUCGCCAAUCACCGCGGGAGAAGAGGAGGACUUGGGAGAGGUGGAGGGCUUUGCCAGAACUUGGUUGUGGCUGCCCUCCCACCCCCCACAUAUAUAUAGGGGCAAGGGAGAGGGGGGGCCGGCCCCCUCAGAUCCAAUCUGAGGAGGGGGCGGCGGCCAGGGGGGUUGCCUUGCCCCCCAAGGCAAGGGGGGCGCCCCCCUUUUAGGGUUCUCCCAAACCCUAGCCGCAUGGGCCCUAGGGGGGAGGCGCCCAGCCCACUAAGGGGUUGGGCCCUCUCCACACACAGCCCAUAGGGCCCUCCGGGGCAGGUGGACCCCCGGAACCCCUCCAGUGGUCCCGGUACGAUAUCGGUAACCCCCCGAAUUAUUUCGGUGACCGUAUGAUGACUUCCCAUAUAUAAAUCUUUACCUUCGGACCAUUCCGGAACUCCUCGUGACAUCCGGGAUCUCAUCCGGAACUCCUAACAACAUUCGGUAACCACGUAUAUCUAUUCCCUAUAACCCUAGCGUCAUCGAACCUUAAGUGUGUAGACCCUACGGGCUCGGGAGUCAUGCAGACAUGGCCGAGACAACUCUCCGGUCAAUAACCAACAACGGGAUAUGGAUACCCAUGUUGGCUCCCACAUGCUCCAUGAUGAUCUCAUCGGAUGAACCAUGAUGUCAAGGAUUCAAUCAAUCCCGUAUACAAUUCCCUUUGUCCAUCGGUACGAUACUUGCCCGAGAUUCGAUCGUCGGUAUCCCGAUACCUUGUUUAAUCUCGUUACCGGCAAGUCUCUUUACUCGUUCCAUAACACAUCAUCCCGUGAUAAACUCCUUGGUCACAUUGUGCACAUUAUGAUGAUGUCCUACUGAGUGGGCCCGGAGAUACCUCUCCGUUACACGGAGUGACAAAUCCCAGUCUCGAUUCAUGCCAACCCAACAGAUACUUUCGGAGAUACCUAUAGUGAACCUUUAUAGCCACCCAGUUAUGUUGUGACGUUUGGCACACCCAAAGCACUCCUACGGUAUCCGGGAGUUGCACAAUCUCAUGGUCUAAGGAAAUGAUACUUGACAUUAGAAAAGCUUUAGCAUACGAACCACACGAUCUUUGUGCUAGGCUUAGGAUUGGGUCUUGUCCAUCACAUCAUUCUCCUAAUGAUGUGAUCCCGUUAUCAACGACAUCCAAUGUCCAUGGUCAGGAAACUGUAACCAUCUAUUGAUCAACGAGCUAGUCAACUAGAGGCUUACUAGGGACAUGGUGUUGUCUAUGUAUCCACACAUGUAUCUGAGUUUCCUAUCAAUACAAUUCUAGCAUGGAUAAUAAACGAUUAUCAUGAACAAUGAAAUAUAAUAAUAAUAACUAAUUUAUUAUUGUCUCUAGGGCAUAUUUCCAACAGUCUCCCACUUGCACUAGAGUCAAUAAUCUAGUUCACAUCGCCAUGUGAUUAACACUCACAGGUCACAUUGCCAUGUGACCAACAUCCAAAGAGUUUACUAGACUCGAUAAUCUAGUUCACAGCACUAUGUGAUUAACAUUCAAUGAGUUCUGGGUUUGAUCAUGUUAUGCUUGUGAGAGAGGUUGUAGUCAAUGGGUCUUGCAAAACUUUAUGUCAUAUCGUAGAUGCUGCUACCACGUUCCACUUGGAGCCAUUCAAAAUUGUUGCUCCAUUAUACGUAUCUGGUAUCUCUACUUAGAGCUAUCCGGAUAGGUGUUAAGCUUGCAUCAACAUAACUCUUUACGUCGAACUCUUUAUCACCUCCAUAACCGAGAAACAUUUCCUUAUUCCUCUAAGGAUAAUUUUGACCGCUAUCUGGUGAUCUACUCCUAGAUCACCUUUGUACCCUCUUGCCAGACAUGUGGCAAGGCACACAUCAGGUGCGGUACUUCAGCAUGACAUACCGUAUAGAGCCUAUGACAAAAGCAUAGGGGACGACCUUCGUCCUUCCUCUUUCUUCUGCCGUGGUCAAGCUUUGAGUCUUACUCAACUUCACACCUUACAACUCAGGUGAGAACCCCUUCUUUGACUGAUCUAUUUUGAACUCCUUCAAAAUCAUGUCAAGGUGUGCAUUCUUUGAAAGCACCAUCAGGCGUCUUGAUCUAUCUCAAUAGAUCUUGAUGCCUAAUAUGUAAGCAGCUUUAUCCAGGUCUUCCUUUGAAAAACACUCUUCAAACAACCGUUUAUGCUUUCCAAAAAUUCUACAUUAUUUCGGAUCAACAAUAUGUCAUCCACAUAUACUUAUCAGAAAUGUUGUAGUGCUCCCACUCACUUUCUUGUAAAUACAAGUUUCUAGCAAACAUUGUAUAAACCUAAAAGCUUUGAUCACUCCAUUAAAACAUAUAUUCCGACUCCGAGAUGCUUGCUCUAGUCCAUAGAAGGAUUGCUGGAGCCAGCAUACCUUUUAGCAUCCUUAGGAUUAUCAAAACCUUUUAUUGUAUCACAUACAACUUUUCUUACGAAAACUAGUAAGAAAACUUGUUUUGACAUCCAUCUGUAAGAUUUCAUAAUCAAAAAAUAUAGCUAAUGCUAACAUGAUUCCGACGGACUUAAGCAUCGCUACGGGUGAGAAAUUCUCAUCGUAGUCAACUCCUUGAACUUGUGAAAAGACUCUUUCCCACAAGUCGAGCUUCAUAGAUGGUAACAUUACCGCCCACAUCCAUCUUCUUCUUAAAGAUCCAUUUAUCUCAAUGGCUUGCCGAUCAUCGGGCAAGUCCACCAAAGUCCAUACUUUGUUCUGAUAUAUGGAUCCUAUCUCGGAUUUCAUAGCUUCUAACCAUUUGGCGGAAUAUGGGCCCACCAUCGCUUCUCCAUAGCUCGUAGGUUCAUUGUUGUCUAACAACAUGAUAUCAAAGACAGGAUUACUGUACCACUUAGGAGUAGUACAUAUCCUUGUCGACCUACGAGGUUUGAUAGCAACUUGAUCCGAAGCUUCAUGAUCACUAUCAUUAGCUUCCUAUUCAACAGACGUAGGCGCCACAGAAAAUAUCUUUCUGUGUUGCAUCACUCUCUAGUUGAAGUAAAGGUUCGACAACCUCAUCAAGUUCUAUCUUCCUCCCACUCAAUUCUUUCGAGAGAAACUCCUUCUUGAGAAAGGACCCGUUCUUAGCGACAAACAAUUUGCCCUCGGAUCUGAGGUAGAAGGUAUUCCCUACUGUCAUCUUUGGGUAUCCUAUGAAGAUGUGUUUGUCCGCUUUGGGUUCGAGCUUCUCCGGCUGAAGCCUUAAGCAUCGCAACCCCAAACAUUAAGAAACGACAACUUUGGUUUCUUGCCAAACCAAUGUUCAUACGACGUCGUCUCAAUGGACUUAGAUGGUGUCCUACCUAAAGCGAAUGCAGUUGUCUCUAACGCAUAACCUCAAAUGAAAACGGUAGAUUGAUAAGAGACAUCAUAGAUCGCACCAUAUCUCAUAGUGUUUGAUUACGACGUCCUGACACACCAUUACCUUGUGGUGUUCCAGGUGGCUUCAACUGUGAAACAAUUCCACAAUGUCUUAAGUGAUUGCCAAACUCAUAACUCAAAAAAUCCCCUUUUGAUCAGAUCGUAGGAACACGAUCUUAUUGUUAUGAUGAUUCUUAACUUCACUCUGAAAUCGCUUGAACUUUUCAAACAUUUCAGACUUGUGCUUCAUUAAGUAGAUAUACCUAUAUCUACCCAAAUCGUCAGUGAAGAUGAGAAAAUAGCGAUAUCCACCGCACGCUUCAAUUCUCAUUGGAUCACACGCAUCAGCAUGCAUGAUUUCCAACAAGUCACUUGCCCAUUUCAUUGUACCUGAAAACGGGAUCUUAGUCAUCCUGCCCAUGAGGCAUGGCUCGCAUGUGUCAAGUGAUUCAAAAUCAAGUGACUCCAAACAUCCAUCGACAUGGAGUUUCUUCAUGCAUCUUACGCCAAUAUGGCCUAAGCGGCGGUGCCACGAGAAAGUGGUACUAUCAUUAUUAACUCUACAUCUUUUGGCGUGAACAUGUGUAUUACCACGACCGAGAUUCAAUGAACCAUUCACAUAGGGUGCAUGACCAUGAAAGGUAUUAUUCAUGUAAACGGAAUAACCAUUAUUCUCUAAUUUAAAUGAAUAAUUGUAUUGCAAUGAACAUGAUCUAAUCAUAUUCAUGCUCAACGUAGACACCUGAUACCAUUUAUCUAGGUUCAAUACUAAUCCCGAAGGCAGAUGGAGCGUGCGAUGGUGAUCUUAUCAACGUUGGAAAUACUUCCAACACACAUCGUCACCUUGCCCUUAGCUAGUCUCUGUUUAGUCCGUAGCUUUUGCUUCAAGUCACCAAUAAUAGCACUGAACCGGUAUCCAAUACCCAGGUGCUACCAGGAGUACUAGUGAGGUACACAUUAAUAACACGUAUAUACUUUGUUGAAGUUGCCAGCCUUCUUAUCUACCAUGCAUUUGGGGUAAUUCCGCUACUAGUGACCGUUCCCCUUACAAUAGAAGCACUUAGUCUCGGGUUUCGGUUCAACCUUGGGUUCCUUCACUGGAGCGGCAACUGGUUUGCCAUCCAUGAAGUUUCCCUUCUAGCCCUUGCCCUUCUUGAAACCAGUGGUCUUGUUAAACCAUCAACACUUGAUGCUCCUUCUUGAUUUCUACCUUUUGCAGUCUUAAGCACCGCGAACAGUUUCGGGAUCAACUCCAUCCCUUGCAUGUCAUAGUUCAUCAUGAAGAUCUAGUAGCUUAGUGAUAGUGGCUAGAGAACUCUAUCAAUCACUAUCUUAUCUGGAAGUUUAAAUCCCACUUGAUUUAAGUGAUUAUAGCACCCAGACAUUCUGAGCACAUGCCCACUAGCUGAGCUAUUCUCCUCCAUCUUGUUGGCAAAAGAACUUGUCAGAGGUCUCAUACCUCUCAACACGGGCAUGAGCCUGAAAUCCCAAUUUUAGCUCUUGGAACAUCUCAUAUGUCUUAUGACGUUCAAAACGUCAUUGGAAUCCCGAUUCUAAGCUGUAAAGUAUGGUGCACUAAACUAUCAAGUAGUCAUCAGGAUGUUUCUGUCAGGUGUUCACAACAUCCACAGACGACGUUGUAGGGGUUUGCACAUCGAGUGGUGCAUCAAAGACGUAAGCCUUCCGUGUAGCAGUGAGGACACUCCUCGGACUACGGACCUAGUCCGCAUCAUUGCUUACAAUAUCUUUCAACUUAAUCUUUCUCUAGGAACAUAUUGAAAUAGGGAGCUACAACGUGGGCUAUUUAUCUACAACAUAUUUGCAAAGACAAUUUAGACUAUGUUCAUGAUAAUUGAGUUAAUCUAAUCAAAUUAUUUAAUGAACUCCCACUCAGAUAGACAUCCCUCUAGUCAUCUAAGUGAAACAUGAUCCGAAUCGACUAGGCCGUGUCCGAUCAUCACGUGAGACGGACUAGUCAUCAACGGUGAACAUCUCAUGUUGAUCAUAUCUUCUAUACGACUCAUGUUCGACCUUUCGGUCUUCCGUGUUCCGAGGCCAUGUCUGUACAUGCUAGGCUCGUGAAGUCAACCUAAGUGUUUCGCAUGUGUCCCGAGGCCAUGUCUGUACAUGCUAGGCUCGUCAACACUCGUUGUAUUCGAACGUUAGAAUCUAUCACACCCGAUCAUCACAUGGUGCUUCGAAACAACGAACCUUCGCAACGGUGCACAGUUAGGGGGAACACUUUUCUUGAAAUUUUAGUGAGGGAUCAUCUUAUUUAAGCUACCGCCGUUCUAAGCAAAUAAGAUGUAAAACAUGAUAAACAUCACAUGCAAUCAAAUAGUGACAUGAUAUGGCCAAUAUCAUUUUGCUCCUUUUGAUCUCCAUCUUCGGGGCUCCAUGAUCAUCGUUGUCACCGGCAUGACACCAUGAUCUCCAUAAUCGUGUCUUCUUGAAGUUGUCUCAUCAUCUAUUACUUCUACUACUAUGGCUAACGCUUUAGCAAUAAGGUAAAGUAAUUACAUGACGUUUAAGUUGACACGCAGGUCAUAAAUAAAUUAAGACAACUCCUAUGGCUCCUGCCGGUUGUCAUACUCAUCGACAUGCAAGUCGUGAUUCCUAUUACAAGAACAUGAUCAAUCUCAUACAUCACAUAUAUCAUUCAUCACAUCCUUUUGGCCAUAUCACAUCACAAGGCAUAUGCUGCAAAAACAAGUUAGACAUCCUAUAAUUGUUGUUGCAAGUUUUUACGUGGCUGCUAUAGGUUUCUAGCAAGAACGUUUCUUACCAAUGCCAAAACCACAACGUGAUAUGCCAAUUUCUAUUUACCCUUCAUAAGGACCCUUUUCAUUGAAUCCGAUCCGACUAAAGUGGGAGAGACAGACACCUGCUAGCCACAUUAUGCAACUAGUGCAUGUCAGUCGGUGGAACCAGUCUCACGUAAGAGUAUGUGUAAGGUCGGUCUGGGCCGCUUCAUCCCACGAUGCCGCCGAAUCAAGAUAAGACUAGUAACGGCAAGUAAAUUGACAAUAUCGAUGCCCAUAACUGCUUUGUGUUCUACUCGUGCAUAGAAACUACUCAUAGACCUAGCUCAUGAUGCCGCUGUUGGGGAUCAUAGUAGAAAUUUGAAAUUUUCUACGCAUCACCAAGAUCAAUCUAUGGAGUAAUCUAGCAACGAGGGGAAGGAGAGUGCAUCUACAUACCCUUGUAGAUCGCUAAGCGGAAGCGUUGCAAGAAUGCGGAUGAAGGAGUCGUACUCGUAGCGAUUCAGAUCGCGGUUGAUUCCGAUCUAAGCGCCGAACCACGGCGCCUCCGCGUUCAACACACGUGCAGCCCGGUGACGUCUCCUACGCCUUGAUCCAGCAAGGGGAGAAGGAUAGGUUGGGGAAGACUCCAUCCAGCAGCAGCACGACGGCAUAGUGGUGAAGGAGGAGCGUGGCAAUCCUGUAGGGCUUCGCCAAGCACCGCGGGAGAAGAGGAGGACUUGGGAGAGGGGGAGGGCUGUGCCAGAACUUGGUUGUGGCUGCCCUCCCACCCCCCACAUAUAUAUAGGGUCAAGGGAGAGGGGGCGGCCCCCUUAGAUCCAAUCUGAGGAGGGGCGGCAGCCAGGGGGGCUGCUGCUGAAUGUCUAAGGAAAUGAUACUUGACAUUAGAAAAGCUUUAGCAUACGAACUACACAAUCUUGUGCUAGGCUUAGGAUUGGGUCUUGUCCAUCACAUCAUUCUCCUAAUGAUGUGAUCCCGUUAUCAAUGACAUCCAAUGUCCAUGGUCAGGAAACUGUAACCAUCUAUUGAUCAACGAGCUAGUCAACUAGAGGCUUACUAGGGACAUGGUGUUUGUCUAUGUAUCCACACAUGUAUCUGAGUUUCCUAUCAAUACAAUUCUAGCAUGGAUAAUAAACGAUUAUCAUGAACAAGGAAAUAUAAUAAUAACUAAUUUAUUAUUGCCUCUAGGGCAUAUUUCCAACAAAACACUCCUCGGCUACUAGCCGAGGAGGUUGAAGCCGAUGGUCGGUCAACAAAGUUUUAUACAAUGCGGAUCCGAGCAUUAAUGACGUAAAGUACUUGGAUACAUAGAGUCAUUACACAUAAUUUGUGAUUUUACUAUGGAUAUCGAUCCUUAAUUCGGCCACCCGUGCCCGCAUUAAGGCUCGGGGGCUACUGGGCUUCGGGCUUAUUAUUUACAAAUAUUAAAGGGGCACAUCGAUCCCCUGAUCUGGUGUUGCCACCCGACCAGUGUCUCGGGGGCUACUGCAUUGCCUGUCCAAUGCAUAAAAUUUUAAGUGCAAUAUAGUUUCUGAGGAGAUUUUGAUCCCCAGGUUGGUCGACCGCACCCAACCUGAGUCUCGAGGACUGAGCACGCUGCUUUUUGUGUCCCGAAGUAUUCUGCCGAGCUAGGACUUGAUCCCUAGGCUGAUUUUGCAAAUCAACCUGAGUCUCAGCGGCUACCGGGAUCAGGGGUCUUACGUCAUCCUUCAGGUGCAUCUCCGGUUUUAGACCGAUACACACCUUGAGGGCUACUGGCUAUAUAUCUCGGCAGAGAAUAAAUUGCACCAAUCAAAAAUAUUGACAAAAAAUCGGGCCACGGUCAGGGUGGUGCACCACCUUGGAAGCAGUCUGGCAUAAAGCUCGGGCGCUAGUGGCUGGCUCCAUAGAGGGCAUUUCCAGCAUUAAGCUUGGCUAAACUCCUUCAACUUUUUUGAACCAAGGUGAUUUAUGACAGUCCGGCGUUGGAGCUUGGACAUAGUCCGGCGUUGGAGCUUGGACAUAGUCCGGCGUUGGAGCUCGGAUACAGUCCGGCGUUGGAGCUCGGAUACAUUCCGGCGUUGGAGCUCGGAAGCGGUCUGGCAUUGGUGCUCGUCUAAAAAAGAUACCUCGAAUGCAGUCCGACGUUGGAGCUCGGACGCAAGAGGACACUGCCUCCCGGGAACAACUUCAAACCCGAGGUGUGGCAUAAAAAUAACAAGGCAUUGAUAAAGGCCGGAAACUUAAAGGGGCUCCUAGGAUACCCGGCGUAUAAACUCGUCGAAUGCAUUUCGGCGAUCCUCAAGAUCGAAGAUGAGAAGAUUUGUUGAACCAGUUUUCAAGCGACAACCGAAGAUGAAGAAUAGUUUGGAAGAAUCGAGGAGCGUCCCUAACUUGAAGACCGGUUCAGAGGGCUACUGACGGUGUCCUGGACUAGGGGGUACUCAACAUGUCAUCUCCCGAUCUGUUAUACUGGGCCGAGGACCCCCAUGGCCGUAUACUCAUGGGCCAGUUCGGACAGCUGCCGCAUACAUGGAAGAUUCCACAAGACUUGGUGAUCAAGACAAGGACUCCUCCCCACCGGCGUAUUCGGCUAGGACUCUUGUUAUCCUAGGCCAUUGGUGCAUUAUAUAAACCGAGGCCAGGCUGGUCGAUAGAGAACAUAUACAACAAUCAUAAUCAUAGGCUAGCCUAUAGGGUUUAGCCUCUACGAUCUCGUGGUAGAUCAACUCUUGUAAUACUCAUAUCAUCAAGAUCAAUCAAGCAGGAAGUAGGGUAUUACCUCCAUCGAGAGGGCCCGAACUUGGGUAAACAUAGUGUCCCCUGUCUCCUGUUACCAUCGACCUUAGACGCAUAGUUCGGGACCCCCUACCCGAGAUCCGCCGGUUUUGACACCGACAGUGGGUUUAACCCUCUUUUUUGAGCUCCUUAGAUUGGUUGAAUAGAAGGCUCCUCCUCAUUACCUGAUUCAUCAUAAGAAAUAAUAGGAGGAUAUUGGGAAGCCUCUUCCCUUUCAUUAGUAUUCUCUUCAUCCUCUAUUUGUUUUCUUUUCUUUAUAUACUUGGCAAUAUAAGGAUUUUCAAUGCAAUUCACCGCACAAUACAUAUAAAUUUCCUCUAGAUCAAAACUAAGAACUCUAUCAAGGGCAAAUUCUAGAAUAACCUUAGAUAUACAUUUCAAUUCUUCAUAACCCAAGAGCAAACUAAGUUCAUUAUGAUGUGCAAGGGAAAUCAAGUCAUCACAAUUUUUGGACACGAUACGAUCAUGAAACAAUUUGCAUUGGGUACAGAAAUGAUCACGUUCAUUGCAAAGUUCACAAGUACGGCUAAGAAAGUUUAAAUUUUCAGCACAAACAUCUAGCCUUUCUUGCAACAAUUUAGUUUCCAAAUACUUAUGCCUCUUGCAGAAUCUAUCUUCCCUCUUUGGUAUGUACUUGCAAACUCUAUGCACUCCACAAAAAUCGAUAUGCUUAUAAGAGAUAUUUUCAUCAUGACUAGUGCAAUCAUCAUUAGUACUAUGGAUAUUGAAAGAGUUCAUACUAACAACAUUGAAAUCAUGCUCAUCAUUCAAAGAUUUAGUGCCAAACAUUUUAUAGACUUCUUCUUCUAGCAUUUGAACACAAUUUUCCUUUCCAUCGUUCUCACGAAAGAUAUUAAAAAGAUGAAGCAUAUGAGGCAAACUCAAUUCCAUUUUUUGGUAGUUUUCUUUUAUAGAAUAAACUAGUGAUAAAACAAGAAACAAAAAGAUUCGAUUGCAAGUUCUAAAGAUAUACCUUCAAGCGCUAACCUCCCCGGCAACGGCGCCAGAAAAGAGCUUGAUGUCUACUACACAACCUUCUUCUUGUACACGUUGUUGGGCCUCCAAGUGCACAGGUUUGUAGGACAGUAGCAAAUUUCCCUCAAGUGGAUGACCUAAGGUUUAUCAAUCCAUGGGAGGCGUAGGAUGAAGAUGGUCUCUCUCAAACAAUCCUGCAACCAAAUAACAAAGAGUCUCUUGUGUCCCCAACACACCCAAUACAAUGGUAAAUUGUAUAGGUGCGCUAGUUCGGCGAAGAGAUGGUGAUACAAGUGCAAUAUGGAUGGUAGAUAAAGGUUUUUGUAAUCAGAAAAUAUAAAAACAGCAAGGUAACUAAUGAUAGAAGUGAGCACAAAUGGUAUUGCAAUGUGUUGAAACAAGGCCUAGGGUUCAUACUUUUACUAGUGCAAGUUCUUUCAACAAUAAAAACGUAAUUGGAUCAUAUAACUAUCCCUCAACAUGCAACAAAGAGUCACUCCAAAGUCACUAGUAGCAGAGAACAAACGAAGAGAUUAUGGUAGGGUACAAAACCACCUCAAAGUUAUCCUUUCUGAUUGAUCUAUUCAAGAGUCCGUAGUAAAAUAACAUGAAGCUAUUCUUUCCGUUCGAUCUAUCAUAGAGUUCGUACUAGAAUAAAACCUUAAGACACAAAUCAACCAAAACCCUAAUGUCACCUAGAUACUCCAAUGUCACCUCAAGUAUCCGUGGGUAUGAUUAUACAAUAUGCAUCACACAAUCUCAGAUUCAUCUAUUCAAACCAACACAAAGGACUUCAAAGAGUGCGCCAAAGUUUCUACCGGAGAGUUAAGAUGAAAACGUGUGCCAACCCCUAUGCAUAAGUUCACGAGGUCACGGAACUCGCAAGUUGAUCACCAAAACAUACAUCAAGUGGAUCACAUGAUAUCCCAUUGUCACCACAGAUAAGCACAUGCAAGACAUACAUCAAGUGUUCUCAAAUCCUUAAAGACUCAAUCCGAUAAGAUAACUUGAAAGGGAAAACUCAAUUCAUCACAAGAGAGAAGAGGGGGAGAAACAUCAUAAGAUCCAACUAUAAUAGCAAAGCUCGCGAUACAUCAAGAUCGUACCACCUCAAGAACACGAGAGAGAGAGAGAGAGAGAGAGAGAGAGAGAGAGAUCAAACACAUAGCUACUGGUACAUACACUUAGCCCCGAGGGCGGACUACUCCCUCCUCAUCAUGGAGAGCACCGGAAUGAUGAAGCUUGCCACCGCAGAGGGAUUCCCCCCUCCGGCAGGGUGCCGCAACGGGUCUAGAUUGGUUUUUGGUGGCUAAGGAGGCUUCUGGCGGCGGAACUACCGAUCUAUUCUGCUCCUUGAUGGUUUUAGGUUAUAUUGAUAUAUAUAGGCGAAAGAAGUCGGUCAUGGGAGCCACGAGGGGCCCACAAGGGUGGGGGCGCCUAGGGGGGUAGGGCGCGCCUCCCUGUCUCGUGGCCACCUCGAAGCUUCCCUGAAGUCUACUCCAAGUCUCCUGGGUUGCUUUCGUUCCAAAAAUAAGUUCCGUGGAGUUUCAGGUCAAUUGGACUCCGUUUGAUUUUCCUUUUCCGCGAUACUCUAAAACAAGGAAAACAGAAACUGGCACUAGGCUCUAGGUUAAUAGGUUAGUCCCAAAAAUCAUAUAAAAUAGCAUAUAAAUGCAUAUAAAACAUCCAAGGUUGAUAAUAUAAUAGCAUGGAACAAUAAAAAAUUAUAGAUACGUUGGAGACGUAUCAGUCCGCAUGCUUAAUGUUCGAUGACGAUAUGUAUUGUGAGUUAUGUGAUUUGAUGUACCAAAGGUUGUUCGGAGUCCCGGAUGUGAUCAUGGACAUGACGAGGAGUCUCGAAAUGGUCGGGACAUAAAGAUUGAUAUAUUGGACCAUGUUAUUCGGACACCAGAAGUGUUCCGGAUAGUUUCGGAUAAAACCGGAGUGCCAGAGGGUUACCGGAACACCCCUGGGAAGUUAUGGGCCUUAGUUGGUCUUAGCGGAGAGAGAGGGCCGCAGCCAGGAGGUGGCGCCCCCCCAAGGGGAGUCCGGAUAGGACAAGGGGAGGGGGCGCGGCCCCUCUUUCCCUCUCUCUCUCCCUCUCCUUCCUUCUUCUCCUAGUUGGACUGGGAAAGGGGGGAACCUACUCCUACUAGGAGUAGGAUACCCCUCUUGGGGCGCACCCUAGGGGCCGAUCGGCCCUACCCUCCUCUCUCCUUUAUAUACGGGAGAGGGGGCACCCCAUAGACACACAAGUUGAUCUUUAGCCAUGUGCGGUGCCCCCCUCCACAGUUUUCCACCUCGGUCAUAUUAUCGUAGUGCUUAGGUGAAGCCCUGCGUCGGUAACUUCAUCAUCACCGUCAACACACCGUCGUGCAUCCGGAACUAACCCUCGACCUCAGCUGGAUCAAGAGUUCGAGGGACUUCACCGAGCUAAACGUGUGCAGAUCGCGGAGGUGCCAUGCAUUCGGUACUUGAUCGGUUGGAUCGCGAAGACGUUCGACUACAUCAACCGUGUUACUUAAUUCUUCCGCUUUCGGUCUACGAGGGUAUGUAGACACACUCUCACCUCUCGUUGCUAUGCAUCUCCUAUAUAGAUCUUGCGUGAUCGUAGGAAUGUUUUUGAAAUACUGCGUUCCCCAACAGUGGCUUCCGAGCUAGGUCUAUGCAUAGAUGUUAUAUGCACGAGUAGAACACAAAGAGUUGUGGGCGAUAAUAGGCAUACCGCUUACCAGCAUGUCAUACUUUGAUUCGGCGGUAUUGUUGGAUGAAGCGGCCCAAACCGACAAUACAUGACCGCGUUCAUGAGACUGGUUCUACCGCCGUGCUUCGCACACAGGUGGCUAGUGGGUGUUUGUUUCUCCAACUUUAGUUGAAUCAAGUGUGACUAUGCCCGGUCCUUAUUGAAGGUUAAAACAACACACUUGACAAAAAAUCAUUUUGGUUUUGAUGCGUAGGUAAGAACGGUUCUUGCUAUAAGCCCGUAGCAGCCACGUAAAACUUGCAACAACAACGUAGAGGACGUCUAACUUGUUUUUGUCGGGCAUGUUGUGAUGUGAUAUGGUCAAGACGUGAUUAUAUAAAUUGUUGUAUGAGAUGAUCAUGUUUUGUAACAGUUAUCGGCAACUGGCAGGAGCCAUAUGGUUGUCGCUUUAUUGUAUGAAAUGCAAUCGCCAUGUAAUUGCUUUACUUUAUCACUAAGCGGUAGCGAUAGUCGUAGAAGCAAUAGUUGGCGAGACAACAAUGCUGCUACGAUGGUGAUCAAGGUGUCAAGUCGGUGACGAUGGUGAUCAUGAUGGUGCUUUGGAGAUGGAGAUCAAAGGCACAAGAUGAUGAUGGCCAUAUCAUAUCACUUAUAUUGAUUGCAUGUGAUGUUUAUCCUUUACAAGAAAUUUUGUUUUUGCCACUCUAGAUUUUGCCAAUUUUCCUUAUGCCACUAUAGAUUUUGACAUUUCAGUUUUGCCACUCUUAGCUUUUGACAAUUAUCACAAUUGCCAUUCCGUGGCAAAACCAAAAUAAAUUAGAGUGGCAAUUGUGAUACAUUGUCAAAGACUAGAGUGGCAAAAUUGAAACAAAAUUAAUUUGCGUUUGCCACAUAAUGGCAAUUGUGAUAUUUGUCAAAAGCUAAGAGUGGCAAAACUGAAAUGUCAAAAUCUAGAGUGGCAUAAGGAAAAUUGGCAAAAUCUAGAGUGGCAAAAACAAAAUUUUCCCUUUUGUAGGGAUAACUUUCUUUGGCCAUGUUAUUUUGAUAAGACAUAAUUGCUUAGUUAGUAUGCUUGAAGUAUUAUUAUUUCUAUGUCAAUAUUAAACUUUUAUCUUGAAUCUUUCGGAUCUGAACAUUCAUGCCACAAUAAAGAAAAAUUACAUUGAGAAAUAUGUUAGAAAGCAUUCCACAUCAAAAAUUCUUCUUUUAUCAUUUACCUACUCGAGGACGAGCAGGAAUUAAGCUUGGGGAUGCUUGAUAUGUCUCCAACGUAUCUAUAAUUUUUGAUUUCUCCAUGCUAUUAUAUUAUCUGUUUUGGAUGUUAAUGGGCUUUAUUUUACACUUUUAUAUCAUUUUUGGGACUAACCUAUUAACCGAAGGCACAACCCAAAUUGUUGUUUUUUGCCUAUUAUAGUGUUUCGCAAAAAAGGAAUAUCAAACAAAGUCCAAAUAGAAUGAAACCUUCGGGAACAUGAUUUUCUCAACAAACGUGAUCCAGGAGACUUGGAGUGGGAGUCAAGAAACAAUCGAGGAGGCCACGAGGCAAGGGGGCGCGCCUACCCCCUGGGCGCGCCCUCCACCCUUGUGGGCCCCUCGUUGCUCCACCGACCUACUUCUUCCUCCUAUAUAAGUCCACGUACCCCGCAAACAUCCAGGAGCCCCACGAAAUCCUAAUUCCACCGCCACAACCUUCUGUACUCGAGAGAUCACAUCUUGGGGCCUUUUCCGGAGCUCCGCCGGAGGGGGCAUUGAUCAUGGAGGGCCUCUACAUCAACUCCAUGGCCUCUCCGGUGAUGUGUGAGUAGUUUACUUCAUACCUUCGGGUCCAUAGUUAUUAGCUAGAUGGCUUCUUCUCUCUCUUUGGAUCUCAAUACAAAGUUCUCCUCGAUCUUCUUGGAGAUCUAUUUGAUGUAAUCUUCUUUUGUGGUGUGUUUGUCAAGAUCCGAUGAAUUGUGGGUUUAUGAUCCAGUUUAUCUAUGAACAAUAUUUGAAUCUCCUCUGAAUUCUUUUACGUAUGAUUGGUUUAUCUUUGCAAGUCUCUUCGAAUUAUCAGUUUGGUUUGGCCUACUAGAUUGAUCUUUCUUGCAAUGGGAGAAGUGCUUAGCUUUGGGUUCAAUCUUGCGGUGCUCGAUCCCAGUGACAGAAAGGGAAACGACACAUAUUCUAUUGUUGCCAUCGAGGAUAAAAAGAUGGGGUUUAUAUCAUAUUGCAUGAGUUUAUCCCUAUACAUCAUGUCAUCUUGCUUAAAGCGUUACUCUGUUCUUAUGAACUUAAUACUCUAGAUGCAUGCUGGAUAGCGGUCGAUGUGUGGAGUAAUAGUAGUAGAUGCAUAAUCGUUUCGGUCUACUUGUCGCGGACGUGAUGCCUAUAUACAUGAUCAUACCUAGAUAUUCUCAUAACUAUGCUCAAUUCUAUCAAUUGCUCGAUAGUAAUUCGUUUACCCACCGUAAUACUUAUGCUCUUGAGAGAAGCCACUAGUGAAACCUAUGGCCCCGGGGUCUAUCUUCCAUCAUUUUAAUCUUCCAACGCUUAGUUAUUUCUAUUUUCGUUUAUUUUACUUUGCAUCUUUAUUUCUCUUUAUCAUAAAAAUACCAAAAAUAUUAUCUUAUCAUAUCUAUCAGAUCUCACUCUCGUAAGUGACCGUGAAGGGAUUGAGAACCCCUUUAUCGUGUUGGUUGCGAGGUUCUUAUUUGUUUGUGUAGGUGUGUGGGACUCGAGCGAGAUCACCUACUGGAUUCAUACCUUGGUUCUCAAAAACUGAGGGAAAUACUUACGCUACUUUAUUGCAUCACCCUUUCCUCUUCAAGGGAAAACCAACGCAGUGCUCAAGAGGUAGCAAUCUCUCACCAAAUUUCAAGGUACAAGUGUUCUUCCUGAGUAUGCACCGUUGCUACAGUUCAUCGUGCCGAGACACCACAUGAUGAUCGGGUGUGAUAAGCUCUGUCUUCACAUACAACGGGUGCAAGCCAGUUUUGCACACGUAGAAUACUCAGGUUAAACUUGACGAGCCUAGCAUAUGCAGAUAUGUCCUCGGAACACUGAGACCGAAUGGUCGAGCGUGAAUCAUAUAGUAGAUACGAUCAACAUAGUGAUGUUUACCGUUGAAAACUACUCCAUCUCACGUGAUGAUCGGACAUGGUUUAGUUGGUAUUGAUCACGUGAUCACUUAGAUGAUUAGAGGGAUGUCUAUCUAAGUGGGAGUUCUUAAGUAAUAUGAUUAAUUGAACUUUAAUUUAUCAUGAACUUAGUACCUAAUAGUAUUUUGCAUGUCUAUGUUGUUGUAGAUAAAUGGCCCGUUCUACUGUUCUGUUGAAUUUUAAUGCGUUCCUAGAGAAAGCUAAGUUGAAAGAUGAUGGUAGCAACUACAUGGACUGGGUCCAUAACAUGAGGAUUUUCCUCAUUGUUGCACAGAAGAAUUACGUCCUGGAAGCACCGCUAGGUGCAAGACCCGCUGCAGGAGCAACACCGGAUGUUGUGAACGCCUGGAAGAGCAAAGAUGAUGACUACUCGAUAGUUCAAUGUGCCAUGCUUUACGGCUUAGAACCGGGACUUCAACGACGUUUUGAACGUCAUGGAGCAUAUGAGAUGUUCCAGGAGUUGAAGUUAAUAUUUCAAGCAAAUGUCCGUAUUGAGAGAUAUGAAGUCUCCAAUAAGUUCUACAGCUGCAAAAUGGAGGAGAAUAGUUCUGUCAGUGAGCAUAUACUCAAAAUGUCUGGGUACCACAAUCAGUUGACUCAGCUGGGAGUUAAUCUUCCGGUUGAUAGUGUCAUUGACAGAAUUCUUCAAUCACUGCCACCAAGCUACAAAAGCUUCAUGAUGAACUAUAAUAUGCAAGGGAUGGAUAAGACAAUUCCCGAGCUCUUCGCAAUGCUAAAGGCCGCGGAGGUAGAAAUCAAGAAGGAGCAUCAAGUGUUGAUGGUCAACAAGACCACUAGUUUCAAGAAGAAGGGCAAAGGGAAGAAGUGGAACUUCAAGAAGAACGGCAAGCAAGUUGCUUCUCAAGUGAAGAAGCCCAAGUCUGGACCUAAUCCUGAGACUGAGUGCUUCUACUGCAAAGGGGCUGGUCACUGGAAGCGGAACUGCCCCAAGUAUUUGGCGGAUAAGAAGGAUGGCAAAGUGAAAGCUAUAUUUUAUAUACAUGUUAUUGAUGUGUACCUUACUAAUGCUCGUAGUAGCGCCUGGGUAUUUGAUACUGGUUUUGUUGCUCAUAUUUGCAACUCGCAACAGGGGCUACGGAUUAAACGAAGAUUGGCUAAGGACGAGGUAACGAUGCGCGUGGGAAAUGGUUCCAAAGUCGAUGUGAUCGCCGCCGGCACGCUACCUCUACAUCUACCUUCGAGAUUAGUUUUAGAUGUAAAUAAUGGUUAUUUGGUGCCAGCGUUAAGCAUGGACAUUAUAUCUGGAUCUUGUUUGAUGCGAGAAGGUUAUUCAUUUAAAUUAGAGAAUGAUGGUUGUUCUAUUUAUAUGAUUAAUAUCUUUUAUGGUCAUGCACCCUUGAUGAGUGGUCUAUUUUCAUUGAAACUCAAUAGUAGUGAUACACAUAUUCAUAGUAUUGAAGCCAAAAGAUAUAAGUUUAAUAAUGAUAGUGCAACUUAUUUGUGGCAUUGCCGUUUAGGUAUUGGUGUAAAACGCAUGAAGAAACUCCAUGCUGAUGGUUUUUUGAAUCACUUGAUGCUUGAGAACCAUGCCUCAUGGGCAAGAUGACUAAAACUCCGUUCUUCCGAACAAUGGAGCGAGCAACAGACUUAUUGGAAAUAAUACAUACUGAUGUAUGCGGUCCGAUGAGUGUUGAUGCUCACAGCGGGUAUCAUUAUUUUCUGACCUUCACAGAUGAUUUGAGAAGAUAUGGUGGAUAUAUCUACUUGAUGAAACAUAAGUCUGAAACAUUUGAAAAGUUCAAAGAAUGAGUGAAGUGGAAAAUCAUCGUAACAAGAAAAUAAAGUUUCUACGAUCUCAUCGUGGAGGUGAUAUUUGAGUUACGAGUUUGGUCUUCAUUUGAAACAAUGCGGAAUAGUUUCGCAACUCACGCCACCCGAAACACCAUAGCGUAAUGGUGUGUCUGAACGUUGUAACCGCACUUUAUUAGAUAUAGUGAAAUCUAUGAUGUCUCUUACUGAUUUACCGCUAUCGUUUUGUGGUUAUGCUUUAGAGCUGGAUUCACGUUAAAUAGGGCACAAUCUAAAUCCGUUGAGAUGACACCAUAUGAACUGUGGUUUGGCAAGAAACCCAAGUUGUCGUUUCUUAAAAGUUUGGGGCUGUGAUGCUUAUGUGAAAAGGCUUCAACCUGAUAAGCUCAAACCCAAAUAGGAGAAAUGUGUCUUCAUAGGAUACCCAAAGGAGACUAUUGGGUACACCUUCAAUCACAGAUCCGAAGGCAAGAUAUUCGUUGCUAAGAAUGGAUCCUUUCUAGAGAAGGAGUUUCUCUCGAAAGAAGUGAGUGGGAGGAAAGUAGAACUUGAUGAGGUAAUUGUACCUGCUCCCUUAUUGGAAAGUAGUUCAUCACAGAAAUCAGUUCCAGUGAUUCCUACACCAAUUAGUGAGCAAGCUAAUGACGAUGAUCAUGAAACUUCUGAUCAAGUUACUACCGAACCUCGUAGGUCAACCAGAGUAAGAUCCACACCAGAGUGGUACGGUAAUCCUGUUCUGGAAGUCAUGUUACUUGACCAUGACAAAUGUACGAACUAUGAGGAAGCGGUGAUGAGCCCAGAUUCCGUGAAAUGGCUUGAGGCCAUGAAAUCUGAGAUGAGAUCCAUGUAUGAGAACAAAGUGUGGACUUUAGUUGACUUGCCCGAUGAUCGGCAAGCCAUAGAGAAUAAAUGGAUCUUCAAGAAGAAGACUGACACUGACGGUAAUGUUAUUGUCUACAAAGCUCAACUUGUUGCGAAAGGUUUUUGACAAGUUCAAGGAGUUGACUAUGAUGAGACCUUUGCACCCGUAGCGAUGCUUAAGUCCGUCCGAAUCAUGUUAGCAAUUGUCGUAUUUUAUGAUUAUGAAAUUUGGCAAAUGGAUGUCAAAACUGCAUUCCUUAAUGGAUAUCUUAAAGAAGAGUUGUAUAUGAUGCAACCAGAAGGUUUUGUCGAUCCAAAAGGUGCUAACAAAGUGUGCAAGCUCCAGCGAUCCAUUUAUGGACUGGUGCAAGCAUCUCGGAGUUGGAAUAUACGCUUUGAUAGUGUGAUCAAAGCAUAUGGUUUUAUACAGACUUUUGAAGAAGCAUGUAUUUACAAGAAAGUCAGUGGGAGCUCUGUAACAUUUCUGAUAUUAUAUGUGGAUGACAUAUUGUUGAUUGGAAAUGAUACUGAAUUUCUGGAUAGCAUAAAAAGAUACUUGAGUAAGAUUUUUUCAAUGAAAGACCUCGGUGAAGUUGCUUAUAUAUUGGGCAUCAAGAUCUAUAGAGAUAGAUCAAGACGCUUAGUUGGACUUUCACAAAGCACAUACCUUGAUAAAGUUUUGAAGAAGUUCAAAAUGGAUCAAGCAAAGAAAGGGUUCUUGCCUGUGUUACAAGGUGUGAAGUUGAGUCAAACUCAAUGCCUGACCACUGCAGAAGAUAGAGAGAAAAUGAAAAUCAUUCCCUCAUAGGUUCUAUCAUGUAUGCAAUGUUGUGUACUAGGCCUGAUGUGUGCCUUGCUAUUAGUUUAGCAGGGAGGUACCAAAGUAAUCCAGGAGUGGAUCACUAGACAGCGGUAAAGAACAUCAUGAAAUACUUGAAAAGGACUAAGGAUAUGUUUCUCGUUUAUGAAGGUGACAAAGAGCUCGUCGUAAACCGUUACGUCGAUGCAAGCUUUGACACUGAUCCGGAUGACUCUAAGUCACAAACCGGAUACGUAUUUUUAUUGAAUGGUGGAGCUGUCAGUUGGUGCAGUUCUAAGAAGAGCGUCGUGGUGGGAUCUACGUGUGAAGCAGAAUACAUAGCUGCUUCAGAAGCAGCAAAUGAAGGAGGCUGGAUGAAGGAGUUCAUAUCCGAUCUAGGUGUAAUACCUAGUGCAUCGGGUCCAAUGAAAAUCUUUUGUGACAAUACUGGUGCAAUUGCCUUGGCAAAAUAAUACAGAUUUCACAAGAGAACCAAGCACAUCAAAAUACGCUUCAAUUCCAUCCACGAUCAAGUCAAGGAGGGAGACAUAGAGAUUUUCAAGAUACAUACGGACCUGAAUGUUGCAGACCCAUUGACUAAGCCUCUCUCACGAGCAAAACAUGAUCAGCACCAAGACUCCAUGGGUGUUAGAAUCAUUACUGUGUAAUCUAGAUUAUUGACUCUAGUGCAAGUGGGAGACUGAAGGAAAUAUGCCCUAGAGGCAAUAAUAAAGUUGUUAUUUAUAUUUCCUUAUAUCAUGAUAAAUGUUUAUUAUUCAUGCUAGAAUUGUACUAUCCGGAAACUUAGUACAUGUAUGAAUACAUAGACAAACAAAGUGUUCCUAGUAUGCCUCUACUUGACUAGCUCGUUAAUCAAAGAUGGUUAAGUUUCCUAGCCAUAGACAUGUGUUUUCAUUUGGUGAAUGAGAUCACAUCAUUAGAGAAUGAUGUGAUGGACUAGACCCAUCUGUUAGCUUAGCACUAAGAUUGUUUAGUUUAUUGCUAUUGCUUUCUUCAUGACUUAUGCAUGUUCCUAUGACUAUGAGAUUAUGCAAUUACGAAUAUCGGAGGAACACUUGGUGUGCUAUCAAACGUCACAAUGUAACGGGGUGAUUAUAAAGAUGCUCUAUAGGUAUCUCCGAUGGUGUUUGUUGAGUUGGCAAAGAUCGAGAUUAGGAUUUGUCACUCCAAUUUUCAGAGAGGUAUCUCUAGGCCCUCUCGGUAAUGCACAUCACUAUAAGCCUUGCAAGCAAUGUGACUAAUGAGUUAGUUACGGGAUGAUGCAUUACGGAACGAGUAAAGAGACUUGCCGGUAACGAGAUUGAACUAGGUAUGAUGAUACCGACGAUCGUAUCUCGGGCAAGUAACAUACCGAUGACAAAGGAAACAACGUAUGUUGUUAUGUGGUUUGACCGAUAAUGAUCUUCGUAGAAUAUGUAGGUACCAAUAUGAGCAUCCAGGUUCCGCUAUUGGUUAUUGAUCGGAGAUGUGUCUCGGUCAUGUCUACAUAGUUCUCGAACCCGUAGGGUCCGCAUGCUUAACGUUCGAUGAUGAUAUGUAUUGUUAAUUAUGUGAUUUGAUGUACCAAAGGAUGUUCGGAGUCUCGGAUGUGAUCACGGACAUGACGAGGAGUCUCAAAAUGGUCGAGACAUAAAGAUUGAUAUAUUGGACCAUGUUAUUUGGACACCGGAAGUGUUCCGGAUAGUUUCGGAUAAAAUCGGAGUGCCGGAGGGUUACCGGAACCCCCCAGGAAGUUAUGGGCCUUAGUGGGCCUUAGGGGAGAGAAAGGGCCAAAGACAGGAGGUUGCGCCCCCCAAGGGCAGUCUGAAUAGGACAAGGGGAGGGGCACAACCCCUCUUUCCCUCUCCCUCUCCUUCCUUCUUCUCCUAGUUGGACUAGGAAAUGGGGGAACCUACUCCUACUAGGAGUAGGAUUCCCCUCUUGGGGCGCGCCCUAGGAGCCGGCCAGCCCUCCCCUCCUCUCUCGUUUAUAUACGGGAUAGGGGGGCACCCCAUCGACACACAAGUUGAUCUUUAGCCAUGUGUGGUGCCCCCUCCACAGUUUUUCACCUCGGGCAUAUUGUCGUAGUGCUUAGGCGAAGCCCUGCGUCGGUAACUUCAUCAUCACCGUCAACACACCAUCGUGCUGACGAAACUCACCCUCGGCCUCAGCUGGAUCAAGAGUACGAGGGACAUCACUGACCUGAAUGUGUGCAGAUCGCGGAGGUGUCGUGUGUCCGGUACUUGAUCGGUUGGAUCGUGAAGACGUUCGACUACAUCAACCACGUUACUUAUUAACUUCCGCUUUCGGUCUAUGAGGGUACGUAGACACACUCUCCCCUCUCGUUGAUAUGCAUUGAUACGUCUCCGUCGUAUCUACUUUUCCAAACACUUUUGCCCUUGUUUUGGACCCUAACUUGCAUGAUUUGAAUGGAACUAACCCGGACUAACGCUGUUUUCAGCACAAUUACCAUGGUGUCAUUUAUGUGCAGAAACAAACGUUCUCAGAAUGACCUAAAACUUCACGGAGCAACUUUUCAGAAAAUAUGAAAAAAACUACAAAAGAUGAAGGCCAGGGGGCCCACCACCUCUCCACGAGGGUGGGGGCACGCCUGCCCCCCUAGGGUGCGCCCCCUACCUCGUGGGCCCCCUGUUGCCUCUCCGAAUCCAACUCCAUAUAUUGUGUUUCGGGGAGAGAAAAAUUAGAGAGAAGAAAUCAUCGCGUUUUACGAUAUGGAGCCGCCGCCAAGCCCUAAAACCUCUCGGGAGGGCUGAUCUGGAGUCCGUUCGGGGCUCCAGAGAGGGGAAUCCGUCGCCAUCGUCAUCAUCAACCAUCCUCCAUCACCAAUUUCAUGAUGCUCACCGCCGUGCGUGAGUAAUUCCAUCGUAGGCUUGCUGGACGGUGAUGGGUUGGAUGGGAUCUAUCAUGUAAUCGAGUUAGUUUUGUUAGGGUUUGACCCUAGUAUCCACCAUGUUCUGAGAUUGAUGUUGCUACGACUUUGCUAUGCUUAAUGCUUGUCACUAGGGCCCGAGUGCCAUGAUUUCAGAUCUAAACCUAUUAUGUUUUCAUCAAUAUAUGAGUGUUCUUGAUCCUAUCUUGCAAGUCUAUAGUCACCUAUUAUGUGUUAUGAUCCAUUAACCCCGAAGUGACAAUAAUCGGGAUACUUACCGGUGAUGACCGUAGUUUGAGGAGUUCAUGUAUUCACUAUGUGUUAAUGCUUUGUUCCGGUACUCUAUUAAAAGGAGGCCUUAAUAUCCCUUAGUUUCCGCAAGGACCCCGCUGCCACGGGAGGGUAGGACAAAAGAUGUCAUGCAAGUUUUUUUCCAUAAGCAUGUAUGACUAUAUUCGUAAUACAUGCCUACAUUACAUUGACGAACUGGAGCUAGUUCUGUGUCACCCUAGGUUAUGACUGUUACAUGAUGAACCGCAUCCGGCAUAAUUCUCCAUCACCUAUCCAUUACCUACGAGCUUUCCAUAUAUUGUUCUUCGCGUAUUUACUUUCCCGUUGCUAUUGCUAUCAUCACUACAAAAUACCAAAAACAUUACUUUUACUACUAUUACCUUUUGCUACUGUUACCACUACUAUCAUAUUACUUUGCUACUAAAUACUUUGCUACAGAUACUAAGUUUCCAGGUGUGGUUGAAUUGACAACUCAGCUGCUAAUACUUGAGAAUAUUCUUUGGCUCCCCUUGUGUCGAAUCAAUAAAUUUGGGUUGAAUACUCUACCCUCAAAAACUAUUGCAAUCCCCUAUACUUGCGGGUUAUCAUGCAUCUCCUAGAUAGAUCUUGCGUGAUCGUAGGAAAUUUUUUGAAAUACUGCGUUCCCCAACAGUAUGAACCAUAGGCCUUGUUUCUAAGCAUUGAGAUACCAUUUUCAUCUCUUUCGUUACUUGUCACCUUGCUGUUUUUAUUUGUUCAGAUUAUAGAAAUAUAUUUCUACCAUCCAUAUUACACAUAUAUCACCCUACUUGAACUUUAUCUUAAAAAAAUCUUAUUUUAUCUCAUAUUAAUAGUAGUAGUAGUAAUCCAACUAUGAGUGCCACUAAAAAGAAGAAAAUAUCUAACUACUCAGGGAAAUACCUAAUUUCCUUUUACAGUGUCCAUUGGCAAAAUCAUUAGUGAUUGGGUGACUGGGUGCAUAUGUUGCUCUUUUUUAGGCUCAAACCAUAGAACAAUUAUUCUAUAGUAUUCUCUAUUAAUAAAGUAUAGACCAUACAUAUGUACAUAGCAAAGAAAAAAGGAAGAAAAACAGAGGAAGCCUAUCCAAUACCAGCUUUUUUCUAACAUGGGGAAAAAGCUAGUAACUCAAAGCAUGCAGUGUUCAUUCUAGAUGAUCACUGAUCCAGCCUUGCAAAGUGCCGAAGUACUUUGCCUUAAUCUUAUGAUCCAGCAGUUUUAGAUCCUCUUUUGCCUUGAAUUUCCAGUAGUUAAUACUUGGAACUUCCCUUCUGAAAGUUUUCCCAUUUCUUUGUCCCGAAUGGGCCAACACCCUUGAAUAAUGAUUUCUAUUGCAAUCUGUCUUGGUAAUUCAGCUCUUGUCAAGAGAAUGUUAUCCAUAAAAUAUAUACCGAGUUUCUUAUUGUGAAGUAUGUCGUGCCAGCAGUCUUGAGAGAAUCCAUAGUCCCAAAAAAGAUGUCUUGCAAUUUCUUCAGCAUCUUCAUGGUAAAAAACACAUGUAUAACUUUCUAGAGAGAAUGAUUUCCUUUUGAGCAAGUUUCUUGUGUUCACCCUGUCAUGCAAAAGCAGCCAGAAGAAAAAUGUGUGCCUCAACCUCCAUGAACUUUUACACGGCCAUUUAAACAUCUGAUGUUCUUGCUGAGGAGGGCUUAGAUGAUGAUACAUCAUGAUAGAAGAAGAAAAAAAUACCUUUCUAGCCCUUACAAGUUCAAGAAUCAUCUUGUUGGUCAUUACCAUGCACCUUCAUGAGUUGUUGCAUUUGAGUGAAUUUAAUGUAAGCUUGAGUGGACAGUAGACUGUUAAAUAAUUGUGUGUGAUCCUCAGUCCUAGUCCAAUCAUGUAGCGACCAGACCUCAAACAGUCUGAUCUCUGUGCUCCGGUGUCAUACCUGGAUCAGUAAUGCUGACACCACACAGUACUCGGAGGAUUUAUAGCAGAGUAGCAAUCACACACUUAUUACAUCGAGUGUCUCAAAAGAGAACUUAUUACAAUAAAUAUGGCUUAAGGCCAUCUAAUAACGAUAACAGCGGAAGGCUUGGAAGAUAAGUGAGUCCAUCAACUCCAACGGCAUCACUGAGUAUAGAACCACGACCUAAAAACUUCUUAAUCGUCAUCUGAAAAGUCUGCAACAUUAAUGUUGCAGCCCGAAAACGGGUCAGUACAUGGAAUAUGCUAGCAAGGUAACACAUAGAGAGUAAUGGAAUGAACAGCUAUACUAUAUGCAUAUUUGGCUGGUGGAAAGCUCUAUGGUUACAGUUUUGCGUAAAGCCAAUUUUUCCCUACUCCAAAGGAAUAAAUUUAUUUACUAUCAUGGUGGUUGUUAAACAUUGAGAAUGGUUGACAGCAUUCUCAAUCCCAAUUAAGCAUCAUCAUUAAACAUAACCCAACAAAAUUAAUUUAGAGUAACAUGUUGAGAUUCACAUGAAAAUCCAGGUACUAGAUACUCAAGAUGUCCAUAACCGGGGACAUGGCUAACCAUGACUAGUUUAUUACACUCUGCAGAGGUUUGUGCACUUUUCCCCACAAGACUCGAUCGCCUCCGUUUGUUUUCUCGCACUACAUGGUGUUUGAGAAGACGAAUGACCGAGACAUAGUCCUUCAAAAGCGCUAGCACCUUACGAUCGGGUAGACCGUAAGACCUACAUCCCCUACAACUGCUAGUCUACCAUUGUAAGAGUUCACACAACUUAGUAAACUAUGCUAGAGCCCAUAAUAGCUUGUGGCUGCACACGGAAGAUUUUAGUAUGAAUAGUCUCAUGACCCCUUUGAGCCUGGAUGGCGGUCCAAAAGAAAACAGGCAAGUCCUGGAAUACCCAGGUGCCUCAAUCCACCCAGAUGUGUGUUUAAGUUGUCACCUUAGAUAAACCAUUAAUUAACAAUCUCACAUCUGUCAUGGAUUUCACUCACCCAAUCCACGUCUACUAGCAUAGCCUGGCAUAAUAAGCAAACGUAGAAGUAACUCCCAAAGGUUUGAUAAUAAACAGGUAAUAGGUACUACCUCAUCUACUUCCCAUCCCACAAUUUAAUUAGAUCCUAAUCAUGCAAUGUGUGAGGUUUGAUCUAAUGCAAUAAAACUGGGUAGUAGAAAGGUACGAUCAAAGUGUUACUUGCCUUGCUGAUGAUCCGGGAAACCUAGCGAUUCGAAGUAACAGGCGGCGCACUCCGGAUACUCUAUCGCAAACAACAAACGAGCAUACAAUAAGUACUCAUCUAAUGCACAGGUAAAACUCAAAUAAGAGAUCUAACCAGAAGGUUCAACUUAAGAACUCCGGUUGGCAAAAAAAAAUCAAAUCGAACAAAGCAACGAAAGUCAAACGGCGAAAGAAAACAAUUUCGUUCUAGUAAUCUGGAACUAGGGAAAAUUUUACAGUAGCAAAAUCUUGUUUAAGUUGGUUAAACGGAUAGAGGGUUUUGAGACGAAACUCUAGGCGCUUGAAUCGCCUGAUUCCGAUAAACGAGCGAAAAGUUAUACUAAAACGAAAAUCGGAUCAGGAAUCGCGAUCAGAAAAAUCACGGAUUUAAUCCGAGAAAAAGAAAACGACGAACAGAUUAAUGAACGAACGUUCGUUAUCCAGAUCUAAAUGAUGAACGUGUUCCUUUAAAUGAACGAACGAGCGAACGCUCGCUAUUUAACCUAAACCAAAAAAACGAUCUAAUAAAAAAACGAAAACUAAAAAAAUCGAAAAUAAACGACGGAAAACCGAUCGGUUUUCUAAAAAAACGGGCGGCGCGGAUUACGAGGCGGCGGUGAACCUCGGCGAGCGUGCGGGCGGGGCGGCGGCUCCGGCGGGCGGCGCAGCGGCGGCGGCACACAGGCUGCGGCGGCGGGUGCGGGGCUGGGGCGGGGCGCGGGGCUAGGGUUCCCCCCGGGUGGGCCGGCUUAUAAAGCCCCUACGGGCCGGGAGUCCUAAUCGGACACGGCCCGUAGGUCGGUUCCCCUUUUUUUAACGCUCGGAAGAAAAAUAAAAAGAAAUACUAAACGGACUCCAAAAAUCCCGAAAUAAUUUUCCCGGGCUUCUAAAAUCAAGCCCAACAAAGCGAACAUUUAUUUGGGCCCUAAAUGCGAUUUUGAAAAACGCACAUUUUUCCUAAAUUCAAAUAAAACACGGAAAAACUCCGAAAUAAAAUCUUAUUUGAUUUUAUUAUUAAAUCCUCAAUAUUUCUUUAUUUUGGGAAAGUCAUUUUAUUCCCUCUCUCAUAUUUUUGUAAUAGAAAUAAUUGAUGAUAAAAUAAAUAAAAUCAAAUGAUCCUAUUCUCAAAAUUUGAGAAAACUCAAAUAUGAAAAUAACGAAAUCCCCAACUCUCUCCAUUGGUCAUUGAGUUGCGUAGAAUUUCUAGGAUCAACCAAAAUGCAAAUAAAAUAUGAUAUGCAUUGAUGAUCUAAUGUAUAACAUUCCAAAUUGAAAAUUUGGGAUGUUACAAACCUACCCCCCUUAAGAUGAAUCUCACCCUCGAGAUUCGGGUUGGCUAGAAGAUAGGUGAGGGUGGUCUUUGAACAAAUCUUCCUCUCGCUCCCAGGUGGCUUCAUCCUCUGAGUGGUGGCUCCACUGAACUUUGCAAAACUUGAUAACCUUGCUGCGGGUAACUCGGUUGGCAAACUCGAGAAUCUUGACUGGCUUCUCCUCAUAGGUCAAAUCGUUAUCCAACUGUAUAGUUUCCAAAGGCACUGUAUCUCUCAAUGGUAUGUCAGCCAUCUCCGCGUGACACUUCUUUAGCUGAGAAAUGUGGAACAGAUCAUGAACUCCUAACAAUCCUUCGGGCAAUUCCAACUUGUAGGCCACUUCCCCCAUACGUUCCAAAACUCGAGAUGGUCCUACAAAUCGUGGUGCUAACUUCCCUUUAACUCCAAAACACUUUGUUCCCUGAAGUGGAGAUACUCGAAGAUAAGCUCUAUCUCCAACUUCGUAAACUGUCUCCUUGAAUUUAGAAUCUGCAUAACUUUUCUGUCUAGACUGGGCUACCUUGAGCCUAUCGCGAAUCAACUUCACCUUCUGUUCAGACUCUUUAAUCAAGUCAGGACCAAACAACUGACGGUCUCCAACUUCGUCCCAUGACAACGGUGUCCUGCACCUCCUUCCGUACAAGGCUUCGAAAGGGGCCAUCUUUAAACUGGUUUGGUAACUGUUGUUGUAAGAGAACUCUGCAUAUGGCAAACUAUCGUCCCAACUAGAUCCAUAAUCUAGCGCACAAGCUCUCGGCAUAUCCUCCAAAAUCUGAUUGACUCUCUCGGUCUGUCCAUCUGUCUGUGGAUGAAAAGUUGUACUGAAUUCUAGCCUGGUACCCAAAGUUUCGUGCAACUGCUUUCAGAACUUUGAGGUAAACUGGGUUCCUCUGUCUGAUACGAUACUCCUUGGAACUCCAUGCAAACAUACGAUCCUGGUCAUGUAUAUCUUUGCCAACUUAGCACUGGUGUAAGUGGUCUUAAAUGGGAUGAAAUGAGCUACUUUCGUCAAUCGAUCAACUACAACCCAAAUCGAGUCAUAGCCUGAACGAGUCCUGGGCAAUCCCGUGAUAAAAUCCAUGCCUAGCUUAUCCCACUUCCAUUCGGGUAUCAGCAAUGGUUGUAACAAUCCUGCUAGCUUCUGAUGCUCUGCCUUUACUCUCUGACAUACAUCACAAACGGCUACAUACUCUGCUAUAUCCUUCUUCAUUCCGGUCCACCGGAAAAUAUCCUUCAGAUCCAAAUACAUCUUGGUAUUUCCUGGGUGAAUUGAAUAUGGUGAAUCGUGUGCCUCUUGCAAAAUCAACUUCCUGAUCUCCGGGUCGUUGGGCACAUAAACACGGUCUUCAAACCAUAGGGUGUCGUGUUCAUCCUCACGAAAUCCUUUAGCUUUUCCUUUGCUCAGUUUCUCCUUUAUAGCGGCAAUCUCUUUGUCAGUUUGCUGAGCUUCUCUGAUUCUAUCCAUCAAAGUUGACUGAAUCUCCAAUGCUGCUACAUAGCCUCUCGGAACUAUUUCCAAACAUAUUUCACGAAGAUUUUCAGCUAACUCCUUGGGUAUUUCUCCCGUCAUUAACGUAUUUACAUGGCUCUUACGGCUUAAUGCGUCAGCUACUACAUUAGCCUUUCCGGGAUGAUAAUGCAAUUUCAAAUCAUAAUCUUUGAUGAGCUCCAACCAUCUCCUUUGUCUGAGAUUCAACUCCUUCUGUGUGAAAAUGUACUUCAAACUCUUAUGAUCCGUGUACACCUCACAAUGGUUUCCAAUGAGGAAAUGUCUCCAUGUUUUCAAAGCAUGCACUACGACUGCUAACUCCAAAUCAUGCGUAGCAUAAUUCAACUCAUGGGGCUUCAGUUGUCUUGAGGCAUAUGAAACAACUCUCCCUUCCUGCAUAAGCACUGCUCCAAGUCCUCGACGUGAAGCGUCGCAGUACACCUCAUAAUCUUUGGUCUGGUCUGGAAAAAUCAACACUAGUGAGGUAACCAAAUGUUUCUUCAACAACUGGAAACUAGCCUCACACUCCUCUGUCCAUAUGAACUUGGUAUCCUUCUUUACUAACUUUGUCAUAGGCUUCGCAAUCUUUGAGAAAUUCUCAAUAAAUCUCCGGUAGUAUCCUGCAAGUCCAAGAAAACUCCGGAUCUCUCCAACUAUUGUUGGGGCUUCCCACUUGGUCACGGUUUCAACUUUAGUGGGAUCUACUGCUAUACUUUCUCUAGAUAUAACGUGUUCGAAGAAUCCUACUUCCUUCAACCAAAACUCACAUUUGCUGAACUUGGCAUACAAUUGAUGUUCUCUGAGUUUUCCAAGUACCAAACACAAAUGCUCCUUAUGCUCCUCUUCAUUCUUCGAAUAAACCAGGAUAUCAUCAAUGAACACUACGACGAACUUAUCCAAAAACUCCAUAAACACUUUGUUCAUCAUGUUCAUAAAAUAGGCAGGUGCGUUAGUCAGACCAAAUGACAUAACGGUAUACUCAUACAGCCCAUACCUGGUGGUAAAAGCUAUCUUCGGAAUAUCCUGUUCUCGAAUCUUCAACUGGUGGUAUCCUGAUCGCAGAUCGAUCUUGAAAAAUACCUUAGCUCCUUGCAAUCGAUCAAACAGACCGUUGAUCAUUGGUAGUGGGUACUUGUUCUUGAUCGUUACUUCGUUCAAUCCUCGAUAAUCAACAACCAUCCUUAACGAUCCAUCCUUCUUCUCCACUAGAAGUACUGGCGAUCCCCAAGGUGAAGAACUUGGGCGAAUAUAUCCCUUAUCCAGUAACUCCUUAAUCUGCUUCUUAAUUUCCACCAAAUCCUUUGCUGGCAUCCUAUAUGGUCUCUUUGAUAUUGGCCCAGUGCCUGGCAAUAGCUCAAUCAAGAACUCAAUAUAUCUAUCCGGUGGCAUGCCUGGCAACUCUUCUAGAAAUACAUCAGGGAAAUCCCUUACCACUGGUACUUCCUCCUGCACAACUCCUGUUAGGCAAUUUACUUGGGUCCUCUUUGGCACAUGCUGGGAUACAUACUUGAUCCUUCUCCCUUCUGGGGUGGUAAGCAAAAUUGACUUACUAGCACAUUCAAUAUUCCCUUCAUACUUUGAUAACCAAUCCAUGCCUAAUAUCACAUCCAAUCCUUGAGAUUCCAAUACUAUUAGGUCUGAGGGAAAAACAUAGUUACCAAUCCUUAAUGGUAACCGAUCACACCAUAGACUAGCCACAUACUCUGCUCCGGGCGAGGUUACUAACAUGGGUGACCUAAGGGCUUGGGUUGGUAGGUUAUACUUAUCCACAAAUCCCCUUGAGAUGUAUGAAUGCGAUGCACUAGUAUCAAAAAGAACGAGUGCAGUAAAUGACUUAACCAAAAACUUACCUAUUACUGCAUCGGGCUGAGCUUCAACCUCCUCCAUGCUAACGUGGUUCGCCUGUCCCCUGUUGAAAGGGUUCGGCUUCUUCCCAGAACUUCCAUUGCCAUUUUGGCCUUCAGGACAUUCAUUGGCAUAAUGUCCGGUCUUCGAACACUUAUAGCAAGUGACUUGGCUCAAGUCCUUCUUGGCUGGGGUUGAGGGGUUGGUGCGGUUCUGGCCGUUCCUUUCUCCAUUGCCAUUACCAUUUUUGGUGCCAUUGUGAUUGUGCGAGCUACCUACUCCAUGGGUAUGCUGAAAAUUUCCUCCCGGUCUAGGGGUAAAACGUGGCUUCUACUGAGCUCCUGAAUUGUACUUCCCUUGUCCAUACUUCCUCUUGCGGUUCUUAAUUAGCUGCUGCUUCCCUUUAAUCAUAAGAGCACGAUCUACCAACUCCUGAUAGUUGUUGAAGGUUGCUACCAUCAACUGCAUGCUCAACUCAUCAUUCAGUCCUUCCAGAAACUUCUCCUGCUUAGCUGCAUCCGUAGCGAUGUCAUCUGGGGCAUAACGUGUUAACUUACUAAAUUCCUCCACAUACUGGCCAACUGUCCGUCCUCCUUGGCGCAAGUUGCGAAACUCACCUUCUUCAUGGCCAUAGCUCCUGCUGAAACAUGGGCAGUACGGAAAGCCUGCUGAAACUGGUCCCAUGUGACAGUGUCGACUGGGAAGGUGGUUGUGAAAUUCUCCCACCAUGAUGCUGCGGGUCCUUCUAACUGAUGUGCGGCAAACUUCACCUUCUCCACAUCUGUGCAUCCUGCUGUGGUCAACUCCCUAGCUGUCUUGCGGAGCCAAUCAUCUGCUACUAUCGGCUCGGUGCUAUUAGAAAACACCGGCGGAUUCAGCCUAAGGAAACGGGCUAAGUGGUCAACAGGUGGUGGUGGUGGUGGUGGGUUGUUGUUGUUGUUCCCCUGAUUCUGAUUCUGGACUAGCAACUGCAUCAAUGUGUUCUGCUGCUGGAUCAACUGGGUGAGCUCCGGUGGGAAAGCAAACCCGGGGUCACGUCUCGGAGGCAUCUGUGGGUUUAGAAAAGAUGAGAUAUAAGAAUAGAGAGGGUCUAAAGAGAAAACACUACCCAUAUGCACAUGAGGCAAAAGCAAACAAUUCACUUCAAUCAAUCAAACAAAGGCAUACAAUCGAUCUAUUUAUCGCAAAAGUGCUCGGACUACUAUAUUUACAUGGUGGACUACUAUUACUGAUGAGGUGGUCUACUAGAAAUAUUCUUCAGUCGUUGACUCCAUGAUAUCUGCUCCAGCUUCAUCAACAUAGUCAUCAUCGCUACUGUCUGGUUCCGAGUCAGUACCGUCGAUGAUGAUGUAGCCUUCCGGGCUAAUCUCCUUGGGUUCUUCGUCUUCAUCUACUGGUGUUGGGCCUCCCAUAAAUAUUACAAUCUUCUUGAUCAGGUCGUCAUUCUUCUCCACCAAUACUUCAAUUUCCUCUUCAUAAUCUUCACGUGUAGCCUUGAGUUCUUCCUCCAGUUCCUCGAUUCUAGUCUUAGCCUUCUUCAGAUCUAUCAUGUCGGCACACAUCUGGUUCUCCUGGCGUCGAAUGUGCUGGUUUAAUUCCUGGAUAAAAGCUGCGAUUGAUCUAUCCUUCCUGGUGCUGAUCAUCUCCCAGUGCUCAUCUCGGCGCCCACAAAUCUGGUAGAUAGUAUCCUUGAGAUCCUUGCGGUAGACUUCUCCAAUGCGUCCCAUGGCGAUGUGAGCUGCCAUGCUCAUUCCCAGACUCCAAGUUGGUGCAUCAAAUGAAAACUCUAUGGGCUCAGUGACUGGCAUGAACGUCCUUCCUGGAACUUGAACUUGAAUCAUCCAGCGCUCUUCUUCGGGUAAAGUGGCGUUGUAGGUUCCCGUGAAGCUUGGUACUCCUAUGUUCAGGUAUCUAGUGACUUCCUUCAAGUGUCAUCCAAAGGGUGUAUCUUCAUCCGGUUGUGUGAACUUAUUCCUUGCAUCCGCCAUCCUAAAGAGUAGAAAAGAUGAGAAGUCAGAAGAGAAGAGAGUGAAUAGUGAUCUAGGGCUUUUAACUUAGUCGUCGUGUCCUACAGUCAGCGUGUGCUCUGAUACCAUCUCUGUAGCGACCAGACCUCAAACAGUCUGAUCUCUGUGCUCCGGUGUCAUCCCUGGAUCAAUAAUGCUGACACCACACAGUACUCGGAGGAUUUAUAGCAAAGUAGCAAUCACACACUUAUUACAUCGAGUGUCUCAAAAGAGAACUUAUUACAAUAAAUAUGGCUUAAGGCCAUCUAAUAACGAUAACAGUGGAAGGCUUGGAAGAUAAGUGAGUCCAUCAACUCCAACGGCAUCACUGAGUAUAGAACCACGACCUAAAAACUUCUUAAUCAUCGUCUGAAAAGUUUGCAAUAUUAACGUUGCAGCCCAAAAACGGGUCAGCACAUGGAAUAUGCGGGCAAGGUAACACAUAGAGAGUAAUGGAAUGAACAGCUAUACUAUAUGCAUAUUUGGCUGGUGGAAAGCUCUAUGGUUACAGUUUUGCGUAAAGCCAAUUUUUCCCUACUCCAAAGGAAUAAAUUUAUUUACUAUCAUGGUGGUUGUUAAACAUUGAGAAUGGUUGACAGCAUUCUCAAUCCCAAUUAAGCAUCAUCAUUAAACAUAACCCAACAAAAUUAAUUUAGAGUAACAUGUUGAGAUUCGCAUGAAAAUCCAGGUACUAGAUACUCAAGAUGUCCAUAAUCGGGGACACGGCUAACCAUGAUUAGUUUAUUACACUCUGCAGAGGUUUGUGCACUUUUCCCCACAAGACUCGAUCGCCUCCGUUUGUUUUCUCGCACUACAUGGUGUUUGAGAAGACGGAUGGCCGAGACAUAGUCUUUCAGAAGCGCUAGCACCUUACGAUCGGGUAGACCGUACCACCUACAUCCCCUAGAUCUGCUAGUCUACCACUGUAAGAGUUCGCACAACUUAGUCAACUAUGCUAGAGCCCAUAAUAGCUUGUGGCUGCACACGGAAGUUUCUAGUAUGAAUAGUCUCAUCAUCCCUUUGAGCCUGGGUGGUGGUCCAAAAGAAAACAGGCAAGUCCUGGAAUACCCAGGUGCCUCAAUCCACCCAGAUGUGUGUUUAAGUUGCCACCUUAGAUAAACCAUUAAUUAACAAUCUCACAUCUAUCAUGGAUUUCACUCACCCAAUCCACGUCUACUAGCAUAGCCUGACAUAAUAAGCAAACGUAGAAGUAACUCCCAAAGGUUUGAUAAUAAAUAGGUAAUAGGUACUACCCCAUCUACUUCCCAUCCCACAAUUUAAUUAGAUCCUAAUCAUGCAAUGUGUGAGGUUUGAUCUAAUGCAAUAAAACUGGAUAGUAGAAAGGUAUGAUCAAAGUGUUACUUGCCUUGCUGAUGAUCUGGGAAACCUAGCGAUUCGAAGUAACAGGCGGCGCACUCCUGAUACUCUAUCGCAAACAACAAACAAGCAUACAAUAAGUACUCAUCUAAUGCACAGGUAAAACUCAAAUAAGAGAUCUAACCAGAAGGUUCAACUUAAGAACUCCGGUUGGCCAAAAAAAUCGAAUCGAACAAAGCAACGAAAGUCAAACGGCGAAAGAAAACAACUUCGUUCUAGUAAUCUGGAUCUAGGGCAAAUUUUACAGUAGCAAAAUCUUGUUUAAGUUGGUUAAACGGAUAGAGAGUUUCAAGACGAAACUCUAGGCGCUUGAAUCGCCUGAUUCUGAUAAACGAGCGAAAAGUUAUACUAAAACGAAAAUCGGAUCAGGAAUCGCGAUCAGAAAAAUCGCGGAUUUAAUCCGAGAAAAAGAAAACAACGAACGGAUUAACGAACGAACGUUCGUUAUCCAGAUCUAAACGAUGAACGUGUUCGUUUAAACGAACAAACGAGCGAACGCUCGCUAUUUAACCUAAACCGAAAAAAACCGAUCUAAUAAAAAAACAAAAAUAAAAAAAUCGAAAAUAAACCGACGGACAACCGAUCGGUUUUCUAAAAAAACAAGCGGCACGGAUUACGAGGCGGCGGCGAACCUCGGCGAGCGUGCGGGCGGGGCGGCGGCUCCGGCGGGGCGGCGGCGCGGCGACGGCGGGCGGCGAGCGGCGCGGCGGGGCGGCGGCGGCGGUGCUGGCGGCGGCGGCAGGUGCGUGGCUGGGGCGGGGCGUGGGGCUAGGGUUCCCCCUCGGGUGGGCCGGCUUAUAAAGCCCCUACGGGCCGGGAGUCCUAGUCGGACACGGCCCGUAGGUCGGUUCCCCCUUUUUUAAUAUAAUUACGCUUGGAAGAAAAAUAAAAAGAAAUACUAAACAGACUCCAAAAAUCCCGAAAUAAAAUUUUCGGGCUUCUAAAAUCAAGCCUGACAAAGUGAACAUUUAUUUGGGCCCUAAAUGCAAUUCUGAAAAACGCGUUUUUUUCCUAAAUUCAAAUAAAACACCGAAAAACUCCGAAAUAAAAUCUUAUUUGAUUUUAUUAUUAAAUCCUCAAUAUUUCUUUAUUUUGGGAAAGUCAUUUUAUUCCCUCUCUCAUAUUUUUGUAAUAGAAAUAAUUGAUGAUAAAAUAAAUAAAAUCAAAUGAUCCUAUUCUCAAAAUUUGAGAAAACUCAAAUAUGAAAAUAACGAAAUCCCCAACUCUCUCCGUUGGUCAUUGAGUUGCAUAGAAUUUCUAGGAUCAACCAAAAUGCAAAAUAAAAUAUGAUAUGCAUUGAUGAUCUAAUGUAUAACAUUCCAAAUUAAAAAUUUGGGAUGUUACAAAUCAUUUAGAGAUAGAAUAUCAUUAUUUGCAAAAGAAAGAAGUUGCGGAAAUAUUUCCUUGAAUGGAUCUUUAGACCAUUUGUCAUGCCAUAAAAGUGUAGCAUGUCCAUUGCCCAGUUUACAGUUUGAAUUUGAUUUAUAAUCCUCAAACAAUCCCAAGUGACUUCUCCACCAACCGGACCCCUCCAUCUUAGAGCCAGGAAGUGAUUGAGAGUAGUAUUUCUCCCAAAUAAGUCCCAUGGAAGGUGUUCCUUGUUAAGAAACUUCUGCACAUUUUCAUCGUCAGGGCCUUAUUGUGCAGACUCACAUCUAGAAUUCCAAGACCACCUUGCCUCCUUGGUUUACAAAAAAACCCAGGCAAUUAGUGUAGGGCCAGCAACCAACUGUCCAAGUUUUCUCCAUAAGAAGUUCCUGGGAAAAUUAUUGAUCUGGCUAGUGAUUGAGACAGGCAGUGGCAGAAUGCUCAUGAAGAAUACUGGUGUGCAGAGAAGACUGAUUUGAUUAACAAUAGUCUGCCAUCAUAAGAAAGCAUUGUUGAACAUCCACAUAGUCUUCUCUCAAUUUUUUGGCAAAUGGGUGUGUAAUCCUCUACUUUGAGUCUGCCAGCACUUAGAGGAAGCCCCAGGUAUGUAAAUGGGAAGGACUCACUCUUAUAUGCCAAGGAAUUAAUGAUCUUAAUGAAACUCACUCCCUGUACAUUGAUAGGAAUCAUAAUUGACCUGUGAUAGUUAAUCUUCAGCCCAGUUUGACUAGCAAAAUGUUUCAACAGGUUGUUCACUUGCUCCACUUGUAUUACGAUUGCAGACAGGAUUAAGAUUGUGUCAUCUGCAUAUUGAAUGAUAGGGAAAUCAGGUUUUAAGCUUGAUUCAAUUGGAGCUUGUAUGUUUCCUGUCCUCAUUGCCUUAUUCAGAAUUGUUUGCAAGAAAUCGGCAGCAAGAACAAAGCUGAGAGGGAGAAAGGAUCUCCUUGUCUCACUCCUCUUUUGCAAUGGAAGUGUUUACCUGUCACUCCAUUCAAGAGCAUAGAAGAAACCCCUAAGGAAAAAAACAUCUUGAUCCACAUAAUCCAUCUAUCUCCAAAACCUCUUGCCUUACGGAUUUCUAGAGUUGUGGUAUUCAAUCAUGUCAAAUGCCUUUUCAAAGUCUAGCUUUAAUAACACCAUGGCCUUUUUGGAUUGCUGGCAUUGAUGAAUAUAUCCAAAGGCCCAUGCCACGCAGUCUUGGAUGUAUCUGUUCUUUGGAAAUCCAUAUUGGUUAGUGUGGACUAACUUGAGAAUUUUCUUUUGUAGUCUAUUUGCUAACAACUUUUUGAUAACUUUUAUUGUGCAGUUUAGCAAUGAAAUUGGCCUAAAAUCUGUAGGUUGUUGAGGGUUAUGUAUCUUUGGCACCAAAAUGAUAAAAUGACCCAUUGAUAGAUUGGAGAUUAAUAGAGCCUUGAUAGAUAUCUUCAGUGAGAGUAUAAAAGUCAUAUGCAAUGAUGCUCUAGCAGGCUUUGAUGAAGUUCCCAUUAAAGCCAUCAUGGCCAGGGCUUUGUAGGGAAGCUCUUCAAUAACACUAUGAAUCUCCUCUUUCGAGAAAGGAAUUUCCAGUUUAGACAAAGAAACACCAGCUGGCAGCAAAUCUGGGAUAGAGAAAAAUUCUCAGUUGUUCCCAUUCUACCUUUAAAUGCUCUCCAUAGGAUGGCAGCUUUAGCCUGAUGGUCUGUGUGCUCAUUUAGGUUUUCAUCCUGUAAGCAUUGAAUUUGAUUGUGCAUGUACUCAAUUGUUGCCUUAGCUUGAAAGAAAUUAGUGUUCAUCUCCAAACUUGACCCAUCUUAUAGUUGCUCUUUGCUUCCAAUAGGCAUUCUGAUAUGAGAGGAGAUUGAACAAAUGAUCUUUGGGGAUAUUUCUUCCAUUCCAUCCCUCAAUAGAAAGAGGUUUUUAUUCUUCCAAAGUGUCAAACAGUAGGAUCUGAUCAUUAGAGUUUUUUAUGAGCAAGGCCAGUUGGGAUCAAGAGGUGAAUGAGGUAAAUUUUGCAGUAAUUCUCUUAGCACUAUUAACCUCAUUCACCUCUUGAUCCCAAAUAGAUUUUCAUAUGUUGCCUUGAAUACAUUGUAAUAAUAAAUCUUGUGGCGUACAUGUUUUAUACCUGGUUUAACAAAUGUUCUCGGGUAUUUCCAUUUAGCUAUAUCAAUAUCAAUGUACUGAUGAUUUAUUUUCGUGGUUGACAUUGCAAAAAAUUCAUUAUUGAAAAAUAGUAAUAAUUAUGUUUCAAAUUCCAUUGAUUAGCGUUCUUUCCAAUUUGCAAAGUUGCAACUAGCUUGAAAUGAUACCCAUAUAUUUCUGUGAUAAUUUUGAUUUGCGGAUAGAUUUAGUGUACCCAAGGAGACAAUAUAUACUUGCUUUUAGCAUGCCUUCUUCUAUGCUAAUUCACAGUACAAAUACAUCAAGAAAAGGCAUUCCAAUCCUAAUAGUUGCACAUGUGUUUAGUUUUUCACAAGGGAUCUGCCACAUCAUGUUAUCAGUAAUUUGUACGGAUUUGUUUUCAUGUAUUGCUUACUUGGUGGAGUAGUCGGUGUUGAUUGCAGAAGCUAUGGGGCCAUGCCGAGCAGCACAAGGCUUGAAACAACUGUAAAAUGUUAAUGACAUUUUAUACAAAAGUUUAUUCCCAUAUUUUGGACAUAGAAAGGACAAUGACACCAUUUCAUGAAUGUGGUACCAUAGGGAAACUUCCUUUGACAUUCAUAUAUUUAUUUCUGCGUUGGGGAUUGUCACCCAGGGCACAUGGCAGAUGCCUUAUGGUUUUAUCUCUCAUUACUUUGUAAUACUGUUGCACCUCCUGUAUGACUCAAUUCACCCAUGGUUUUAUUCUGAUAGUCCGUACCUCCCACGGUGUGCCAUUGUAUGUCCAACCUUAUAUCGUCCGACCAUGUAUUUUGGUUCGUGUUUCGUAGAUAAAUGAGGUUGUCUCUGAGAUGCACCUCAGCUGCAAGUCAAACAAGCAUGUUGCCUGCUGCGAUCAUUCCUCAAGGUUGUAUUGUGGAUUUGUGGUACUCAACUGACACAGUGACUAUUGGGCGAGAGGGCGCUCGAAGGAGAUAUUCAUCCCUCAAACUGACUUAAAACACGCCAGGUACCAGGCCAGCGAGUUGCAGACACCAGUUCGUCAUAGGAGGAUAAGGGUACAGUCCCAGCGCCUCGGCAGCCCAUCACAGAGCUCCUUCGGUCCUCAUUUUCACUUGUUAUUUCAUCGACUGUCACGACGAAAUCGAUUUUUCUUCGGCCAGUUCACAUCAUCCACCUCAAAACCCAACUUGCUGCUUAGUGAAUUAAUCAUAUUUUCUGCAGCUGCCUCCUCCACAAUCGCAAGUGAUCAUUACUGACAAAUCUUAACAGGCUCGAUCACAACUAGGUAGUGUAAAUAGACUACAAAAAACCCUACCAACCAGUCACUGGAGUGGACACCUGGUACAGCAAACUGAUGAGGACAUGAACACCAUCACUAACCAACACAGUUAAUCCAUCCACCGAUUGUACAAAUAGAUCCACAAUAGCUGAACAAUCAGCACGCUCAACAUCCUAAUCAACCUUAGGUUACAACAACGGCGGCAGCGCUACGACCACGACAGCAACGGCGACGACGACACAUCAAACCCUCCUAAUCACGACACGGCGAUCCCGGCAAUUAAGUACCACUACAAUUAAAGAGAGCGACCGACAAUUAUUAAGCACUACAGAACAAGAUUACUAACGAGCACCCGGGUGAUCCAGAGAAACCGACGGCCGCGCCCAGGCGGACGGAGGACGAGUCAGGCCGCCGCCGGCUCGGCGGGGCGCGCCUUGGGCGGACGGCCGCGGCCGCGCUUGGCGGAUCCGUCGACGGCAG